rnacentral:lncRNA from 1 species
AUAAUAAUAAUAAUAAUAAUAAUAAUAAUAAUAAUAAUAAUAAUAAUAAAUGAAAAAUGGGGCGAUGCAUGUAUUUCUACAAGCUUCCUGAUCAACACACCAAAAACAAGUCAAUAUUAACCUCAUAUUUUCUAAGUUUAAAAACAACCAAUAAUGUGGUAAUAUGUGGCCAUAAUAAUAUUUAAAAUAAAAUAAAAACAUAAAUCUCUCUUCACCAUCACACAUCUUCUUCAUGACAAAACUAACCUUUCUUCUUCAUGAAAUUUUUGUGAGCAAUAUCUAUUUUUCAAACUUAAAAAAAUAAACUGCCUUCUUCAUGAAACUUAAAGCAACACAACAAGUGAAAUGUAUAAAUCUUGAUUUUCAAUCAAAGUACAAAUCAAAACUUAAAACAAAUCAAACUUUCAUUUUUCAGAAAAACAAACUUGAGACAACAAACAUCGACCUUCACCCAUUCACAACAACGAAAGCGAAACUUAACAAAGUCAGAAAUCGAAGGAAAGAAGUGGUAUAACAUGCCUUUCGUCAGAGCUGUACGGAAUUGAUGAGUAGGCGUCGAAGAGCUCGUUGAGUCGGCGUCUAGGUGCCGUAGUUGUUGUUUGUUGUAGUGAUCGGUCGGUGAACGUCGCCGACUUAGAUGUUUGGAGCGACAGAAGGAGUAUUAUAGUAGUGUUGAUGGUUUGUUCUAUGUGGUUUGAUGAAGAUAUUGAGUUGUUGUUGAAGCUUUCAUGAGAUUUGUUGUUGUUUUAAUGGAUUUAGAGGUGAUGGAUAAUGGUGGUUUUAUGAAAUUUUCUUGUAGCAAGGUUUUUUAUAGUUGUUUAGAGAUGAAGAUGGUGAUGAAGAGUAAGUUGUAAUGGUGAUUUUUAUGAUGAGCUAUUGAUGGUGGUGUUUUCUUGAGAGUGAGAAGGAAAUGUGAUGGGUGUUUGCACCAUGUAUUAGUGCAUGAAAGAAGAAAAAACGUGUGUCUUUCAAUUUAAGAGGAAAGAGUUUAUUCUAUUUUCUUUUUAUUGUGGCCCGCGUGUCGCUUCUUCACCGGAGGGAGAUCAUUUAUUUUUUUCUUGAAACAAAUAUUUGCUAUGCUUCCACAUCUCCAUUUCCCUUACCAUUCAUUCUCUAUUGCAAUUGGUAAAAGAUAUCUUCAUGUAACCAAAGAAAUAACGCCACAUGGCACUGAAAGAGAGAGGAUUUUAUCCAAUCUUUUUACUUGAUUUUGGAAUUUAAAAAAUAAAUCUAUCUAAUGAAAUAAAAAUUAAAAGAACAAAUAAAAAAAACAAACUAGGUACUUAAAUAAAUUCUAAUUUAUUCUACUAAUUAUAUUUACUAAAAAAUAAAAAUAAUCAGAUAAAAAAAAAUUCGGGCAAAAAAAUGUUCGAAAAAAUAAAUUAACUGCACCAAAAUUAUCAGCGCGAAAUACACUAUUCGAAAACAUAUAUGUUUUGAUCGAAAUUUUGAAAUAAAAAUUGACCGGUUAAAAGACUCAGGUUGAUCAGAACGCGAUCGAAAAAGUAGUCAAAAAAUUAAAACGAGCAUACUAGGUUAAACUACGCGGAACGUAGAUUAAUAAAACUGACAUCUGCAAGCUCAAAUUUGAAAAUUUCCGCCCGCUAAUUCGUCAUUCAAUUGAGAAACUAUUCGAUCGGUCUCUCUGUAGAUCCGAAAAAUUUAUCUGGCCGAUAUUUCAAGUGUUAUGUGAAACAAAAUGCAUGAUAUGACAAGUAUAAAAAUGUAAACGUCUUCUAAAUGCACUGAAUUUCUAAUUGAAUAAUCGUAAAUGGAUAAUCAUAUGCAAAUGAAUCGCCCUUGGACCAUUUACUUUUGAUUCUCCAUCACAAAUAAAACAUUUCAAAGAUUCAGAUGACGACAAAACUCUUGAUUGUCAUCCUCUGAACCUUUGAAAACACGAUGCAAUGGAAUGAACGAUGCUAUGAGAUUGAGAAAUCAAGUCUUUCGACUUCUUAAUCAAUAGAUAACUGAAUGAAUGUCAUCAAGACCAAUAAACUGCCAAAACUCCAAACUUUUUAUCUAAACCCCAAUGAAUGCUUUUAACUGAUGAAAAUGUAUGACAAAAAUGGAUAAAUUUAUGCUAUGUUUAUGCGAGUGAAAACUCAUGGUAAAAUUUAGGGUAUGCCACAACACACACUCUAUCAUACGCACAUGCUAUUAGGUGACCCAUGUCAAGGAAGCACAUCCAUUUUGCCUCUGGUGCCGGACCGCUAAGGCAAGGAACAAGAGACUCGUAAACUUCAUCGAAUGUUUCUUUCUUUCCGUACAACUGUGUGCAUGAUUCUUUAUACGUCAUGAACUAUUGGAUAAGUUGAUGGAAGACAAGUGUAUGAUUAUCUUCUCAUUUACCGAGUAAAUUCGAAAUUGUUCGAUAACUACAAUUACUACCCCCCGUAACAUUGACGAUUCACUCGAUGUAUUUGUGCAUAAAAACGGGCACCUCGUCGAUGAAUGGAAUUUUUUGUGGAGGCGGCGUAUGAGGUGGUUUGCUAAUGCGAGGUCCUUUGAAAACACUUUUUUGAAAUUUUGGAGUUGGUAAGUCGGGAAAAACUUUGUCAACAUGUUCAAAAAAUGAAGGAGAUCGUGUAGUCGAAUUGUCAUUCAGUGUUGGCUUCAUUUUCUUCGGAGCACCUUUUGUUUUUACCGGUUGAGAUGGUGGUUUCAUGUCGAUGCUUUCCGGAUAGGCAAUCUUCCUCAAUUGUUCUUUGAUGUGGAGUUUCAAGUUGUCACCGACUUUCAAAAGUCUCUCUUGUAUCACUUCUCAUUCGGUCAUAAUAGAGAUAUUCGAUUUACCGUCAUUCAUGACACGAUCAUCAUCAAAUGAGUGCAAACCUCAUCCACUGUUAUUAGGCUACCAAGUUUCACCUUUUUUGCAACAACACAAGCACAUGAGAGACCAUAUGUUUUCACAAUUGUGCAUGCACACUUUGCACUAUCAGAGCCUACAUAUCAGCUCGUUUAGCCUCAUGAAAAGUAUAAUUCAAACCCGCACGAGAAAUGUUAUCGACCAACUGAGAAUAAAGAGUGUUGUCUUUAAAUUUGUAUUCCAAAACUGUGAUGCUCCGAACAAAUGAUGUGUGUAUCUCAUUAUACUGGUUUUGAAUCAUGUGGUACACAUAGUCUCAAUCUCUACACAAACCGCCCUUACUAUUUCCCAACCAAUUUUUCAAAGUAGCAUGGGCAGACUCAACUCUGUUAGUUAUUGUAUUUCUAAGGUGUCUAACAUUAUCAAUCCAUGCACAAACAAUUUUCUUCUUUACCUGGUCAAGAAUUGUGCUUUCAACAUAUUUCAACAAAUCCGGAUACUUUUCAUACACUUUCCUGAAAUGCAUAACAGAAGCGACAUAUAGUUCUUUUAUGAAAGAAAUUAUUAUACGAUUCCAUGCAUCAAUUAUUUUUUCCACAACCAGACCCUCCUUCCCCAUUUUCCCAUCUUCAGACUCUAUUUGAUUCGUCCCUAUGUUAUGUGAUACCUACAAAGUAAUGAAUUAGAGGAAGAAAAUACCUUUACAACCGAUUUCAUCAAGACGGUAUCGCUGUCGGUAACAAUCACUUUAUGCAUCUUACCUUGGUCUUUCAAUAGUGUCUGACACACCUCUAAGGCCUAAGUAAAAUUGUCUUAUUUUUCACACUCAAGAAAUACAAACCCAACUGAAUAUCUCUUCUUAGUUGAUGUAACACCAACCAUCUCCAAUAAUGGAAGUCUAUACUUGUUGGGUUUGUAGGUUGAAUCAAGUAUGAGCAUGGUAGGAAACGUACUGAGCAACUUUAUGGAAUCAGGAUGAGUCCAAAAUAUAUCUCUAACAAUAACUUCAUCCUCGCAAGUUUGGUACCUAGACACGUAAUCGUUAUCAUCCAACAAUUUCAAGAGUUGUUGCAUUUCAAUUAUACCCCCUUAAGCGCCUUGUUAGUUUGAUACCGAAUAUUAUACACUUGCUUGAUAUUUGAUAUAUUUUCGGGUCUUUUCCGUUUCAAUAUUGCAAGUAUAUUUUUCGGUUGAAUCAAAUUCAAUGUCAUGUCAGCAACACAUCCUUUCUCUUUCGGCAUGAGCCGACACACACUAGGAUGACUGGCUAAUUUUUCACAAAAUCAUGGUUAUGCAAACCACAUAUGACAUUAAAUCUCCAGUUUUUAUUUUCCAACAUGUAACCACGCACCUUAAACAAACAUUCACAUUUUCUUGAACCGGUGCCGUCUCUUUUAAAAAUAUGGAGUGGAGUUCUAUAUCUCCAGCUUCUUUCGCACGUCAUUAUCACAAAAGUGCACCUUCUAUCUGAACCGUUAUCGGGCCUUCCAAUAGCCACACUAAAUCAAAGUUUAGAGACCUACAUAUGAAUCCAUUGAAGCAUUUGAUCACAAGAUUCAAACUCUUGCUCAUUUUUAAAUUGGUUCCCAACAUAUACCGCCCUCACAACAACACCUUGGACAUUCGGAGAAACAACUUGUUUUGAGAAAACAUCGGGGUGCACCAUAUCUAAAGAAAAUAAUUACAACAUAUACGCGCCACUGCUGAAAACAAAGUUGGAAAGUGAACACAAAUUAGUUCCAGAAAUGCAUCUCUGAAAAUGUUCAUACUCGUUCUGGAGAUACAUUUUCGGACACAACGCUCAUUUUUUCAAACAAAAUACAUGAUUAAUAUGAGAAAUGCAGUGUGAAAUAAAUGAUCUUUACAUGAAAUUAUAACUUCUUUUGCUCCCUUUGAUAUGAUGAACCACAAGUUUAGAGAUUUGGAGUGAAAAAAUAGAUUGAGAAUGGAAAGGUUUUUGGUAAGGGUUUGUAGAGAAAAACAACAAUGACAAUAAUGGUUGUGUGAUCAUGCAACUGUUUUUUUAUCAGAUUAUUCCGGAGAUGCAUCUCCAGAAAUAUCUCACAUGAAAAGGUGACAAAAUAUUUCAAAAUCCCAUCCAAACUUCCGAAGAUGUAGCUCCAUAAAUUCUACUGAACUGAUCAAUUAUGAAUAUAUUUCUUGAAAUGUUCUGGAGAUGCAUCUCCGGAAUAAAAAUAACCCAACUUAUAGGGCGCCACUCAUAAUGGUGUGUGUGUGUGUAUGUGUGUGUGUGUGUGUGUGUGUGUGUUGUGUAACACCCUUCUAAAAUACCCCAAAUAUUUAAUUAAAAUAACAACAUAUAUCAAUCAGAGUAGAUAUGCAAUUACGGGUGUCACACAAUUACUUCACAACUUGAGUUUGGUGUGUGAGAGAUCACAUAGUGUCAAAUUGGGAAUGUGAAACUAACAAGUGGUAUUUGGAUGAGAUCAGAGAGGUCAGAAAUCUGAUGUGCUUUUGGUUGAUAAGUUGACUUUAGUGAAUCAAGGUCAAGGUGGUGAAUUCAGAGUUGAUGAGAAUGGUAUUUUGAAAUUUGGUAAUCGGGUGUGUAUUCCGGAUGUUGCGAGCUUAAGAAGAGUAUUCUUGAAGAAGGACAUCGUAGUGGUUUGAGUAUUCAUCCUGGAGCUACGAAGAUGUAUCAAUGAUUUGAAGAAGUUGUUUGGUGGCGGGAAUGAAAAGAGAAAUUGCGAGUUUUUGUUUAUUCCUGUUUGACUUGUCAGAAAUCAAAGAUUGAGCAUCAGAAGCCGUCUGGGCUAAUGCAACCGUUGGCUAUUCCAGAGUGGAAGUGGACAGUAUCAGUAUGGAUUUUGUUUGGGUUUACCGAGAACAAGUUAAGAAUUUUGAGGCUAUUUGGGUGAUUGUGGAUAGAUUGACAAAAUCGGCUCAUUUCAUUCCGAUCAGAAUGGAUUAUCCGUUGGAGAGGUUAGCUGAAUUGUAUAUUGAGAAGAUUGUAAGUCUACAUGGUAUCCCGUCGAGUAUUGUUUCGGACAGAGAUCCUAGAUUUACAUCGAGUUUUGGGAAGUUUGCAGAGGCUUUGGGAACUAAGUUGAGAUUAGUCUGCAUAUCAUCCGCAGACUGAUGGUCAGACUGAGAGGACGAUUCAGUCAUUAGAGGAUCUUUUGAGACUGUGUUUUGGAAAGGGAGUGCUUGGGAUUGUUAUUUACCUUUGGUUGAGUUUACUACAACAAUAGUUUUCAUUCGAGUAUUGGUAUGGCACCGUUUGAAGCUUGUGUAUGGUAGGAGAUGUCGACACUUUAUGUUGGUAUGAGUCCGGUGAGAGUGCUGUGGUUGGACCAGAGAUUGUCAACAGACUACUGAAAAGAUUAAGAUGAUUCAGGAUAGAUGAGAAUGCUCAGAGUCGUCAGAAGAGUUAUCAUGAUAGAGGAGAAAGUCCUUGAGUCCAAGAGGAGAUCAUGUGUUUCUUCGUGUACUCCGAUAACUGGUGUUGGUCGAGCCUGAAGUCAAAGAAGCUGACUCCUCGAUUUAUUGGUCCUUAUCAGAUUUUGGAGAGGUAGGGGAGGUAGCCUAUCGUAUCGCUUUACCGCCGUCACUUGCGAAUUGCAUGAUGUUUUUCAUGUGUCUCAUUGAGGAGAUACGUUCAUGAUCCGUCGCAUGUAGUCCAAGUAGAUGAUGUACAGGUGAGAGAUAACCUGACUGUUGAAACAUCACCUAUGAGGAUUGAAGAUCGAGAGUUGAAGCAGUUGCGGGGGUAAAGAGAUUGCCUUAGUGAAGUAGCUUGGGAAGGACCAGCAGGUGGCAAUGUGACUUGGGAACUUGAGAGUCAGAUGAAGGAACUUAUCCAGAGUUGUUCGCUUGAGGUAUGGUUCGAGACGAAAACUCUUUUAGUGGGGAGAGUUGUAACACCCCAAUUAAAAUAAGAUAUUAUUUAAUUUAAAUUAAUAUUUUUUUAUUAAUUUAAUUGAAUAAUUGGAAAUUUGGAUUAUUAUUAUUAUUAUUUUGGAAUAAUAAUUAUUGGAAUAAUUAUUUAUUGGAAUAUAUAAGUUGAAAUAAAAGUCCCAAUUUGGAAAAAAGGUUUUCACGUGAAAAGGAAAAGAGAAGCGGCUGAAAGAGAGAGAAGGGCAAAAGGCAGAGCAAGAGAAGAGGAAAAGCUUGAAGCUGCAGAAUUGCCGGAUUAACUCAGUAAGGGGGUUAUCAUCGGUUAAAGGUAUAUGAUAAUAUGUACUGGUAGUGAUAACCAUUGUUUUACCUCUGAUUAGAUGGAUGCAUGAUGAAUUGUGAAAUAUUGGAUGAAUGAAAUUGGAUGAUAAUUGAAAGGUUUGGUAGGAAUUGGAUGUAAAGUGUUAGAUUUGUGUAAUCGAAUAAGAUAGGAAUUGUGUGGAAAAUAUGGACGAUUAUUUGGUGUAAAUUGGACUGUAGAAGGUUGGAUCGGAUAGGUUUCGUAAUAGAGAAAGUCAUUUGCAGAUCUGGAAAUCUGGUUCUAUAGCAGAGGGUUCUGUUUGCGCGCGAUUCACGCGCGAAGCCAGUGCCGCGAACUGGCAAAUCCAGAGGGUUCUGUAACGCACCGUUCGCGGCGCGAACCCUGCUGCGGCGCCAACUGUGCUGUGCAGAGUUGAUGUUGGAUGGUGAAUUCCUGUGUGGUGGUGAUGCAGUUUUGGCUGUCUAGGCUGAAUGAUGUGACUUAGCUGAGGACCGAUGUAAAGGGAUCAUUUCCCGUUGUUUGAGUGGCAUAGUAUUAGUAGGGUGUGCUAAUACUAUGAUUAAUUUAUGCAUGAUAUGAUAGCUUUCGUGAUGAAAUGUGUUGAUGAUAUGUGAUGGUAUGCAUAAUGCUGUGAAUGUAUCGGUGAUGUAUGCAUAUUAAUAGACUGUUGUAUGGCUUAGAGUGUGAGCAUGUGUCUAUUCUUGAAUUGUUGUUUGUUGUUGCCUUGCUAGAUGAUUAGCGCAUGGCAUAGCCUGUGGGGCUGUAGCUAAUUCCCAUUGUGAGGAAUUAGUGAGUAAAAUAUGGUGGAGUUGUUGUUGAUGUUUGCAUACUAGAUGAGUAGUGUGCAUAGUCUAGCCUUUGGGCUGUAGCUAAUUCCAUGGUGAGGAAUUAGUGAGUGAGUCAUUAGAUCUCAAUGAGUGGGACUAGUGAGCUCAGUAGCCGUAUCCGAGGGAUCGGUGAGCUUGGACUAUAUGUUCAAGAAGAGUUGUACCGCAUUUCAUGGAGUCUCAUUGCAUAAUGAAUGCAGCAUAGCCUGUGGGGCUGUAGCUAUUCCAUUGUGAGAAUUAGUGAGUAAAUCGUUGUGUUGUGUUGUUGGUGUUGAAUAUGGUUUGAGACUAUACAUAGAUAUAUAUUAUUGUUGAGUAUAAUGUUUGCGUUGAUACUGCCGUUAUGGAGUGUGUAGUCUGGUUAGGGUGAUUUGAUGCGUUAUUUACUUAACAUUACAUAAUGUUGUAUAAUGCUUAUUAUAUGAUUGGGAACUCACUUACAACUAUGUUUUUCAGUAACAGCAGUGAGUUGAGUAGAAGCUAGUCCUUGGAGUCUAGUGUCGUCCUUAGUGUCAUGCUCUGGUAGAUGUAACAUCGGGAGGGGAUGUUUUAAUUAUUUUGAUGUUGAUUGUUGAAUAUUUACAUGUACUGUGGUACAUGUUAUUACAUGAUUGAAUUGAUUUUCUAUCCGCUGCGAAUUAUGCAAAAGUGUCCUAUUUUGAUUAAAUAAAUGAGCAUGACAGGAUAUUUGAUGAAUAUUGUGUGACACCCUUCGGGGCAUAUACUCUGAUUGAUAUGUUUAUAUUUAAUUAAAUAUUUGGGGUAUUUUAGAAGGGUGUUACACUAAUCACCUAGCAUGCAAACAUCAACAACAAUCCACAUACCCACAUCACAAUUCCUNNNNNNNNNNNNNNNNNNNNNNNNNCCAUUCACCAUAUAACUGUCAUGCUUUUUAUUAAUUCAAAACAUAAAGCAUUUGCACAAUACGCAGCGGAUAGAGAUAAAUCAAUCAUGCAAACAUGUAGCAUAUACAUGUAAACUGGUUCACAACCAACAAUAAACAUUUAAAACAUCCCAUCCGAUGUUACAUCUACCAGAGCAUGACCACUAAGGAACUACACUAGAUCCACAGCACUAGCUCCUACUCAAUCACUGCUCGUUACCUGAAAAAUAGUGUAAGGGUGAGUCUCAAUCAUAUAUAAGCAUUUAUAAAAUAUCAUGCAAUGUUAAGUAAUUUAACACAUUUCAUCACCCUAAUCAUAACACACAUUCAGUAAACGGCCAAUCACUCAACACUCAUACUCAACACCAACAUAAAGCACAUGUAUAAUCUCAUUCAUACUCACACCAACACAAAACACGUAUAAUAUUGGAAUACAUCAUUCAUAUUAUACGUCAUACAUACAUUAUGCAAUGAGACUCCAUGCAUCGCGUACGACUAUUCGUGAACAUAUAGUUCAACCUCACCGAUCAAAUCCAGAUACGGCUACAAGUCACUAGUCCCACUCAUUUGACCUAGUGACUCACUCACUAAUUCCUCACAUGGUAUAGCUACCACCCAAGGCUAUUGAUAUGCACCGCUAAUGUAACACCCCAAUAAAAUAAGAUAAUUAUUUAAUUUAAUUAAUAAUUUAUUUAUUAAUUUAAUUGAAUAAUUGGAAAUUGGAUUAUUAUUUUAUUAUUUUGGAAUAAUAAUUAUUGGAUAUUAUUUAUUGGAAUAUAUAAGUUGGAAUAAAAAGUCCCAAUUUGGAAAAAAAGGUUUUCACGUGAAAGGAAAAGAGAAGCGGCUGAAAGAGAGAAAGGGCAAAAGGCAGAGCAAGAGAAGAGGAAAGCUUGAAGCUGCAGAUUUGCCGGAUUAACUCAGGUAAGAGGGGUUUAUCAUCGGUUAAAGGUAUUAUAUGAUAAUAUGUACGGUGGGUAGUGAUAACCAUUGUUUUACCUCUGAUUAGAUGAUGCAUGAUGAAUUGUGAAAUAUUGGAUGAAUGAAAUUGGAUGAUAAAUGAAAGGGUUGGUAGGAAUUGGAUGUAAAGUGGUUAGUUUUGUGUAAAUCGAAGAUAGGAAUUGUGUGGAAAAUAUGGACGAUUAUUUGGUGUAAAUUGGACUGUAGGAAGGUUGGAUCGGAUAGGUUCGUAAUAGAGAAAGCAUUGCAGAUCUGGAAAUCGGCUUCUGUAGCAGAGGUCUGUUUGCGCGGAUUCGCGGCGCCGAACUGGCAAAUCCAGAGGGGUCUGCUAACGCACGUCGCGGCGCGAACCCUGCUGGCGGCCGCGAACUGUGCUGUGCAGAAGUUGAUGUUGGAUGGUGAAUUCGUGUGGUGGUGAUGCAGUUUUUGGCUGUCUAGCUGAAUGAUGUGACUUAGCUGAGGACCGAUGUAAUAGGAUCAUUUCCCGUUUUUGAGUGGCAUAGUAUUAGUAGGUGUGCUAAUACUAUGUUAAUUAUAUGCAUGUAUUGAUAUGCUUUCGUGAUGAAAGUGUUGAUGAUAUGUGAUGGUAUGCAAUAUGCUGUGAAUGUAUCGGUGAUGUAUGCAUUAUUAAUGACUGUUGUAUGGCUUAGAGUGUGAGCAUGUGUCUAUUCUUGAAUUGUGUUGUUGUUGUGCCUUGCUAGAUGUUAGCAUGCAUGCAUAGCCUGUGGGGCUGUAGCUAAUUCCCAUUGGUGAGGAAUUAGUGAAGUAAAAUAUGGUGGAGUUUUGUUGAUGUUUGCAUACUAGAGAGUAUGUGCAUGUCUAGCCUUUGGGCUGUAGCUAAUUCCAUGGUGAGAUUAGUGAGUGAGUCAUUAGAUCUCAAUGAUGGGACUAGUGAGCUCAGUAGCCGUAUCCGGAGGAUCGGUGAGCUUGGACUAUAUGUUCAAGAAGAGUUGGUACCCGCAUUUCAUGGAGUCUCAUUGCAUAAUGAAUGCAUGGCAUAGCCUGUGGGGCUGUAGCUAAUUCCAUUGUGAGGAAUUAAUGAGUAAAUCGUUGUGUUGUGUUGUUGGUGUUGAAUAUGGUUGAGACUAUACAUAUGAUAUAAUUUAUUUUGAGUAUAAUGUUUGCGUUGAUACUGCCGUUAUGGAGUGUGUAGUCUGGUUAGGUGAUUUGAUGCGUAUUUACUUAACAUUACAUAAUGUUGUAUAAUGCUUAUUAUAUUGAUUGAGAACUCACCCUUACAACUAUGUUUUUCAGGUAACGAGCAGUGAGUUGAGUAGAAGCUAGUCCUUGGAGUCUAGUGUCGUCCUUAGUGGUCAUGCUCUGGUAGAUGUAACAUCGGAGGGGAUGUUUAAUUAUUUUGAUGUUGAUUGUUGAAUAAUUUACAUGUACUGUGGUACAUGUUAUUACAUGAUUGAAUUGAUUUUCUAUCCGCUGCGAAUUAUGCAAAAGUGUCCUAUUUUGAUUAAAUAAAUGAGCAUGACAGGAUAUUUGAUGAAUAUUGUGUGACACCCUUCGGGCUAAUUACUCUGAUUGAUAUGUUUAUUAUUUAAUUAAAUAUUUGGGGUAUUUUAGAAGGGUGUUACAUAGUGGUAUCGAGCAUAGUCGGCGAGUCGAGUCGUAUUAUUCUGUUCUGUACGGGAUAGGUGUUGUGUAACCCAUAGUAUUAUUGUUAGCUUGUGGUGUUUUCAGAUAGAGAUGGCUGGAAGAGGUAGAGAUGAUGCUGGAUUGCUGAGGCUCUGGGUAUGCUAGCUGGAUACUUGGAGGAAUCCGAAUGUUGUGGGAAUGGGAGCUGCUCGUCACUGAGUGAGUUCCAGAAGAACAAUCCUCCAUGUUCAAGGGCGCAUACGACCAAGAGGUGCUCAGAAGUGGUUGAAGGAGAUAGAGAGGAUCUUCCGAAGUGACUGAGUGUGCGAUAACCAGAAGGUCAGGUUUCGGUACGCAUAUGCUGUCAGAGGAAGCUGAUGAUUGGUGGGUUGCUACCCGCACUGAGUGGAAACUGCUGGGAAUGCGUGAAUCACUUGGGCUGUGUUCAGAGAGAGAUUCCUGAGGAAGUAUUUUCCAGAGGAUGUUAGGGAAAGAAAGAGAUAGAGUUCUUGGAAUUGAAGCAGGGUAACAGGUCUGUUACUGAGUAUGCUGCUAAGUUCACAGAGCUGUCGAAGUAUUACUCCUAUAAUGAGGCUGCUGCGAGAAUUUUCGAAAUGUGUGAAGUUGAGGAACGGGUUGCGUCUGAGAUCAAGCAGGCUAUUGUAUCAGGGAUCGAGUGUUUUCUGAUUGGUUGACUGUUGCAGGAUUUUUGAACAGGAUUCCAAGGCCAGAGCUGAGAGCUAUCAGCAGAGGUUGAUAGGAAAGCAAGAAUCAGAUUGAUCGUGGAAACCGUAUGCAGCUGGCAAAGGUUUUCAGAGACAGAGUGGGAUGAAGAAGCUAGUGGGGGAGACUCUAGUGCUCCUGUUAAGUGUUACAGAAUGUGCUCGGGCUGGACAUCGUGUUCAUGAGUGUACCAGUGCUGAGAUGAAGUGUUUCAAGUGGGAAAGGUGGUCAUUUGGCUGCCAGUAUGCGGUUGAAGACUGUGAUUGUUUCAACUGUGGAGAGUGGGUCAUAUCAUCGCAGUGUCCUAAGCCGAAGAAAGAGAAUCAGUCGGGAGCAAGGUUUUUGCUUAUCGGGUUCUGAGACUUCUGCAAUGUCGUGAUCGGUACGUGUUAUAUUAAUGGCUCUUCCUCUUGUAGCUAUUAUUGACAGGGUGCGACUCAUUCUUUUAUAUCUUGGAUUGUGCUGUAACUUAGUUAGAGAUAUCUGAGAUGUUUGUAGUAUGGUGUAUGAUACUCCUGCGAAGGGUUCAGUGACUUACUACGUCAGUUUGUUUAAAUUGUCCUUAGUAUUUUUGGUAGAGACUUGGAUAGACUUUGUGUCUUCCAUUAGUGCCAGAUUGAUGUUAUCCUGGGUAUGAACUGGUUGGUGUUUACGAUUUAUAUCAAUUUUUUGAUAGACUGUGAUCUUUCUGAGAUUGAGGAAGGAAGAGUUUGUUUCUAUCAGCGAGGCACGUGUGAAUGAGGAGUAGCUGAUGGGGCCAGAGCUGUUUAUGCUGUUAGCGACUUUGGAAGCUAAAGAUAAACUAGUGUUGGCGAUCUCGUGUGGUGUGUGAUUUCCUGAUCGUGUUCCGGAAGAAGUGAAUGUUACACCAGAGCGUGAAGUUGAGUUUCGAUUGAUUUGGUACCGUACUAGACCGAUAUCGAUGGCUCUGUACGUAUGUCUGCUGUGAGUUAGCUGAAUUGAAAUCAGUUUGGAAUUUGUGGAUAAGAAAUUUAUUCGUCCGAGUGUGUCACGUGGGUGCACCAGUGUUGUUGGUUAAGAGAAAGAAGUACAUGAGAUUGUUGUGUGGAUACAGGCAACUGAAUAAGUGACUAUCUAAGAAUCGUAUCUUUGCCGAGGAUUGAUGAUUGAUGGAUCAGUUUGUUGUGCGAGUGUGUUCAGCAAGAUAGAUUUGAGAUCUGGUAUCAUCAGAUACGUGUGAAACUGAGGAUAUUCAGAAGACUGCUUUCAGAACAAGGUAUGGACUAUGAGUUUCGGUGAUGCCUUUUGGUGUGACUAAUGCGGGAGUAUUCAUGGAGUAUAUGAAUAGAUUUUCCAUCCGUACCUAGAUCGUUUGUUGUGGUGUUUAUUGAUGACAUUUUGGUGUAUUCGAAAUCUGAGAAGAGCAUGCUGAACAUUGAGAGUGGUGUUGGAGUUCUACGAGAAAGAAGUUAUUUGCUAAACUGUCAAGGGUGAAUUUUGGUUAGAAGAGGUUAGUUUUCUUUGGUCAUGUAAUUUCAAGAGGUGGUGUUGCUGUUGAUCCUUCUAGAUAGAAGCGGUAUCUAAGUGGGAAGCUCCGAAGUCAGUUUCUGAGAAGAAGUUUCUUGGACUUGCAGGUUAUUAUUAGGAGUUCAUUGAUGGGAUUCUCUAAGUUGGUUACCGUUGACGAUGUUGACUAGAAAGGCGCACGUUUGUUUGGGACUCAAAUGUGAGAAGGUUUCCAAGAGUUAAGAAAAGGAAGUUAAACUCUGCUCUCUAUCCUGAUAUUACGAGUUCGUCGGAACUAUUUUGGGUUUAUUGUGAUGCUUCAUUGCUGGUUUAGUGGUGUGUUGAUGCAAAUAAGCAGGUUAGCUUAUGCUCGCGAGACAGUUAAGAGUUAUGAGAGGAACUACCCGACAACAUGAUUGAUUGGCAGCUGUGGUAUUUUUUCUGAAAGUUAUGAGAGCAUUAUUUGUAUGGGUCAGAUUGUAGUUUUCAGUGACAUAAAGUUUAAGUAUUUGUUUGAUCAGAAAGAAGCUGAAUAUGAGGCAGAGGAGAUGGUUAGAAGUUCUGAGGAUUAUGAUUUUGGGUUGAAUACCAUCCGGGUAAAGCAAAUGUAGUGGCUGAUCAUUGAGUCGGAAAUCAUUGCAUAGUCUAUGUUAAUUGUUAAGAACUGGAUUUAAUUAACAGUUUAGGACUUGAGUUUGGUGUGUGAGAUACUCCAAUAGUGUCAAUUGGGAAUGUUGAACUAACAUGGUAUUUGGAUGAGAUCAGAGAGGGUCAGAAAUCUGAUGUGCUUUUGGUUGAUAAGUUGACUUUAGUGAAUCAAGGUCAAGGUGGGAAUUCAGAGUUGAUGAGAAUGGUAUUUUGAAAUUUGGUAAUCGGGUGUGUAUUCCGGAUGUUGCGAGCUUAAGAAGAGUAUUCUUGAAAAGGACAUCGUAGUGGUUUGAGUAUUCAUCCUGGAGCUACGAAGAUGUAUCAUGAUUUGAAGAAAGUUGUUUGUUGUGCGGGAAUGAAAGAAAAAUUGCGAGUUUUGUUUAUUCCUGUUUGACUUGUCAGAAAUCAAAGAUUGAGCAUCAGAAGCCGUCUGGCUAAUGCACCGUUGGCUAUUCCAGAGUGGAAGUGGGACAGUAUCAGUAUGGAUUUUGUUUCGGGUUUACCGAGAACAGUUAAGAAUUUUGAGGCUAUUUGGGUGAUUGUGGAUAGAUUGACAAAAUCGGCUCAUUUCAUUCCGAUCAGAAUGGAUUAUCCGUUGGGAGAGUUAGCUGAUUGUAUAUUGAGAAGAUUGUAGUCUACAUGGUAUCCCGCGAGUAUUGUUUCGGACAGAGAUCCUAGAUUUACAUCGAGUUUUGGGAAGGUUUGCGAAGGCUUUGGAACUAAGUGAGAUUAAGUUUGCAUAUCAUCCGCAGACUGAUGGUCAGACUGAGAGGACGAUUCAGUCAUUAGAGGAUCUUUUGAAGCUUGUGUUUUGGAAAAGGGGUGCUUGGGAUUGUUAUUUACUUUGGUUGAGUUUACCUACAACAAUAGUUUUCAUUCGAGUUGGUAUGGCACCGUUUGAAGCUUUGUAUGGUAGGAGAUGUGACACCUUUAUGUUGGUAUGAGUCCGGUCGAGAGUGCUGUGGUUUGACCAGAGAUUGUUCAACAGACUACUGAAAGAUUAGAUGAUUCAGGUAAAUGAGAAUGCUCGAGAGUCGUCAGAAGAGUUAUCAUGAUAGAGGGAAAGUCACUUGAGUUCCAAGAGGAGAUCAUUGUUUCUUCGGUUACUCCGAUAACUGGUGUUGGUCGAGCCUUGAGUCAAAGAAGCUGACUCUCGAUUUAUUGGUCCUUAUCGAUUUUGGAGAGGAUAGGGAGGUAGCCUAUCGUAUCGCUUUACGCGUCACUUGCGAAUUUGCAUGAUUUUUUCUGUGUCUAGUUGAGGAGAUACGUUCAUGAUCCGUCGCAUGUAGUCAAGUAGAUGAUGUACAGGUGAGAGAUAACCUGACUGUUGAAACCAUCACCUAUGAGGAUGAAGAUCGAGAGUUGAAGCAGUUGCGGGUAAAGAGAUUGCUUAGUGAAGGUAGCUUGGGAGGACCGCAGGUGGCAAUGUGACUUGGGAACUUGAGAGUCAGAUGAAGGAUCUUAUCCAGAGUUGUUCGCUUGAGGUAUGUUUUCGAGGACGAAACUCUUUUAGUGGGGAGAGUUGUAACACCCCAAUUAAAAUAAGAUAAUUAUUUAAUUUAAAUUAAUAUUUUUUAUUAAUUUAAUUGAAUAAUUGGAAAUUUGGAUUAUUAUUAUUAUUAUUUGGAAUAAUAAUUAUUGGAAUAAUUAUUUAUUGGAAUAUAUAAGUUGGUAAAAGUCCAAUUUUGGAAAAAAGGUUUCACGUGAAAAGGAAAGAGAGCGGCUGAAAGAGAGAAAGGGCCAAAGGCAGAGCAAGAGAAGAGGAAAAGCUUGAGCUGCAGAUUUGCCGAUUAACUCAGUAAGGGGGUUUAUAUCGGUUAAAAGGUAUUAAUAUAUAUGUACUGGGUAGUGAUAACAUUGUUUUACCUCUGAUUAGAUGGAUGCAUGAUGAAUUUGUGAAAUAUUGGAUGAAUGAAAUUGGAUGAUAAUUGAAAGGUUUGGUAGGAAUUGGAUGUAAAAGUGUUAGAUUUUGUGUAAUCGAAAAGAUAGGAAUUGUGAUGGACAAUUAUUUGGUUGUAAUGGACUGUAGAAGGUGGAUCGGAUAGGUGGAAUAUAGAGAAAGUCAUUUGCAGAUCUAUCUCUCUCACCAUGGGAAUUAGCUACCACCAUAAAGGCCACAAUAUGCAAGCUAAAUCACUUAGUCAUGCAAACAUCAACAAUCAUCCACAAUGGACAUAUGCUCACACUCUAAGCCAUAAACAGUCCAUUCACCAUUGCAUACAUAAUAGAUACAUCCACGGCAUUAUGCAUACAAUCAUACAUCAUCAACAUAUUUAUCACAUAAUCAUAUCAUGCCACAUAAUCAAUCACAGUAUUAGCACACUCUACUAAUACAUAUAUUGCUCAAAACAACGGGAAAUGAUCCCUACUCUAUCAUACAUCAGCUAAAUUACAUUACUCAGCUGAACAACCCAAAAACUGCACAACAACAGCACAGAAAAAUCACAAUUAUGCCCAUACGCGUAUUGCCUAGUCCCAUACGCGUAUGGCCCAUUUCUCAGCCAAUCCCAUACGCGUAUCACCUGUCUCAUACGCGUAUGCUACGCGUACCAACAGAGACCAACCCACGCUCAAAACAUCACCUUCCUCAUCCAUACGCGUAUUGCCUAGUGCCAUACGCGUACCAGACCAUCUCAUACGCGUAUUGCCUAGUGCCAUACGCGUAUGACCAGAAACCAGAUUUCCAGAUCUGCUAUGGUUUUCUCUACCACGAGAUUCCUCAGAUCCAACCUCCCACAGUCCAAUUUUACACAGUAUUCGUUCGUAUCAUCUAACACGAAUCAUACCCUAUUCGAUUUCACAAAUUCUAACAUUAUUACAUCUAAUUCCUACGAAUUCCCUUCAAUUAUAAUCCGAAUUUCGUUCAUCCAAAAGUUCACAAUUUCCUCAUGCAUCAUUCCAAUUAGAGUCAAAUCAAUGGUUUAUCACUACCCAUUACAUGUUAACCCAUAAUACCCAUUAAACGACGAUAAACCCCCCUUACCUGAGUUAAUCCGGCAAUCCUAAAGCUUCAAGCUUUUCCCUUCUUCAACCUUUGCUCUCUUGCUCUUCCUCUUUUGCCUUUCCUCCACUUCUCAAUCGCUUCUCUGUUUCACGUGAAAAAACCCUUUCUUUACCAAAUGGAACUCUUAUAUAUAUUCCCACUUUAUUAUUCCAAUUUAUAUUAUUCCAAUAAUAAUAAUAAUAAUUCCAAUAAUAAUCCAAUUAUUUAAUUAAAUUAAUAAAUAUAUUAUUAACUUAAUUUAAAUAAUUAUCAUAUUUUAUCGGGGUGUUACAUGUUGGAUGCGUCUGAAGAUGCAUCUUUGAAAACUGGGGGACAUUUUAGAAAAUCGUGUGGUGCGUAAGAAGCAUAUAAGGUGCAUUAAGAAAUCCUCUUAUAUUUGUUGAUGUUGGGUUAUAUUUGUUGAUGUUGGGUUAUAUUUGUUGAUGUGGCUAAUUGUUAUAGGGGAAUGAUAUUUAUAUAAAGGAUAAGGAUAGAAAGAUAGAAGGAUUGCGAUGAUAUUUAUAUAAAGGAUAAGGGUAGCAAGAGAGAAGGUUGAGAAUUAUUCAGUUAAGAACCAAAGUGGUUUGGAUAGAGAGAGAAUUGUCUCUUCUCUGAAGAGCGUAGCCUUGGGAUUGCAAGGGUUUAUUGUCUGCAAUAGUUAUUAUUUUUCCAUUAAUAAUACAAUUUCUUUUUCUCUGGUAUUUUGUUGGAAACUCUGGAUAAUUACACAUAAAGCCAAUGAUGGAGGACAUUUGGACUAUGAAGAUGGAAUCAUUAGAUUUUGUGGAGGCAAAUCUUGUUGGUUGGAUUUAUGUGGAUGGACAGUUAUUCCGAGUUAUUAAUCGUGGUCGCUCCAGGCGCUAUCCCAGGGUUCUCUCCCGGUGUGGUAACCCUCUGCUACGGAGGAGCGACUCGCAUCCUAGUUUUAAAUAACAGUCGGGAAAGCUGGGAUAGCAGGUUAUGGGAGCAAAGCGCUUCCUGACCCAUAAUAGUUUUCUGCUUUUAGAAUUUUUUAAAAACGAAAAGACCUUUUUAUCCGUAAAAAUAUUUAAAACUGGAAAAAUUUAUUAUAGUCGUUCAUAUUUUCUCCUCUCAUUCAUGUUUUCACCUUUCUCCAUCGUGUUUCUUCUACAUUUUUCGCUUGCUACUUCUCUUGCUACUUCUCUUGCCCUAACUCCUCCUCCGCCUCAACUGCUUCAACCUUGUCUCUACUUCUAUUCUUCUUUUUCUCUACUUUUUUUUCUACUUUUCUAUUUUGUUCUAUAUCCUAUUCUUUUGCAUUUAUUGUUUUUCUAUUCGUUUUUAGAUUGUUUUUUCUUUUAUAUUAUUGUUUUUUUUUCUUUUAAAAUAUAUUGAUUUUGAGAUUAAUAUAUAUAAAUUAUUCAUAUAAUUAAUCCAAAAAAAAAAAUAAUCUACCGAUAUACUCCCUCCGUUCUUUUUUAAGUGUCACUUUCUUGAAAAAAAAAAGUUAUUUCUUUUUAAUUGUCACUUGCAAAGUUUAAGGUAGUAUUAAAUAUACUUUUGUCAAAAUUACCCAUAAAUAAUUAUUACAGAGAGAGAAAAAGUAAUUGAAAUGUAAUAAAUAAUUAAGGGUAUUAUAGGUAAAAAAAGAAUUAUUGAUUGAAAACUAAUAAUAAUAAUUAAAUGUCUUGGUAUGCGUAAAAAGUAAAAAAAAAAUCUUAAAAAAAAACAAAAGAAGUAUAAUUAAUCUAAAAAAUUAUCCUUCUAUGAUUUCGCUAUCCCAUUUUUGGAUAGACCUUUCCACUAUUUAGAAUUAAUAAUUAUGCAAUAAUUUGACAAUAACAAAAUCCAUUUUGAGUAUAAAUUGCAGGGGACAUUCAUGAGCAUGGAAGAUGAAGGAUCAAUGUUAUGGUUUUGUCAUUGGUGUGAAGAGAAUCUAGAUUCUGAUUGGAAUUUAUUUGGAGCAUAAAUGGUACAAAAUCAAGAAACAAAGUCGAAACUGUUUCAUUGUUGAACAAGAACCAAAACGUUAUACAAAAGUAGAAUCUGACUUCAAGAGAUUGAUGAUACAUGAAUUCAAACGGAUUACCGAAAACGAGGAACAAGAGCCAUGUUUAACGGAAGAAUGAAUGAGAUCUAAAGAAGAAAGCAGCAUGUGUUUGUUUUUGAGCCACCCGACGCCAACCUUUAUGUGAUUGUUGUCGAACUCCAUUGGAUAAAAAUACCCUUAUAUAAAUAAUUUAUUAAAAGUUAAAAAUUAUAAUAAAAAAUAUAAAAGAAUUAUUAUUUAAUUUUUUAAAAAAAAAAUUCGAUACACAAAAUAAAUAUUAAAAAUAUUAAAAAACUAACUAACGAAAGUUUUUAAAAAAGUUUACCGAUACAUAAAAUAAAUGUUAAAAAUGUUAAAAAAAUUGAUUAACGAAACUCUUUUCUAAAGUCUUCAUACACACACAAAAUUAAUGUUAAAAAUUGACUAACGAAACUUUUUUGCAAAGUCUUUCGAUACACAAAAUAAAUAAAAAAAAAUGAGUAUCAUAAUAAAUCUUUUGCAAAGUAUUAUGAUAUGCAAAAUAAAAAGUUAAAAAACAUUAAAAAAUUGAUUACCGUAAUUCUUUUGGAAAGUCUUCCGAUAUAAAAAAGAAAAAUUAAUAUUAAAAACUGACUAUCGAUAUAUAAAAUAAAAGUAAACAAAUAUUUAAAAAUUGAUUAUCAAUUUUUUUUUAAAAGUCUUUUAAAACACAAGAUACAAAUUAUUUUUUUAUUUUAAAAAUAAUAAAUAAAUUAAAAAUAUAUAUGCGAUAUUUUUAUAAAAUAUAGAUAUAAAAAGAAAGGUAGGGAUAUAACUUAAAAUUCUAUUUAUGUUGUUGGGAUAUAUUUGCUCAUGUGACUAGAGAGCAAUGAUAAUUAUAUAAAGGAUAAGGAUAACAAAAGAGAAAAGUAAGAAUUAUUCAAUUUGGAAUCGAAAUAGUUUGAGCAGAGAAAGAAAUGUCUCUUCUUUGAAGAGCUCAUUGUCUAUAUAAGUUUUUGUUUUUUCAGUAAUAAUAUAUUUUUUUCUUGAAUUUGGAUUCUUAAUGUAUGCACAAUUUCCAUUUAUAAUACAAUUUAUUUUGAAUUUGAAUUUGGGUUCCCAAUGUAUACGCAUUGAAAUCAAAGAUUUGAGUCCUUGUAUCGGUGAGAAAUUGUCGUAUCAAUGUGGUGACAAAGACUAAUAAUUAUCUCUCUCUCUUGUCAUGUUAAUUAUGAACUAUUGGUUUAGGAUCAAGAAUUCAUCUAUAUAUGAUUUGGGCAAUGACUGAAAAGGUAAAGUAUACGAUUCAUUCAUUAUUUUUUCCCUUUAAACAAUUAGUCUUGGAUGAAACACACUAUUCUUUCACACAAUUGAUAACUAGGCAAACCUGAAUUGUAAACAUUUAGGGGGAUUAUUAGUUUGGCAAUUGUGAAGUCUAAAAUACUUUUUUUCUCUAUACUGCACUGAUGCAAUCUAAUCUAAUGAUAUGUAGAGGGGGGAGAUGAUCCAUUGGCUUUGUGGAGGGGAUUGCACCCAAACUUUCUUUAUAUAUAUCUCUAACAAUCCACUCUCUCACCUCACUUUAUCCUCCCUUUUUUCUUUGUUUUCCAAUUCUCUCUCCACAAAAAAUGCCUAAAGUCAAGCAAAGUUAGAGAAGAGAAAGUUAGAGAAUCUCAAUUCCAUGCAAAGGAGAGGAUCCGCUGACUUUGUGAAGGAGACUGCACCCUAACUUUCUCUAUAUAUCUCUCUAACAAUCCACUCUCUCACCUCUCUUUUCCCUUUUUUCUCUAUUUUUAAAUUCUCUCUCCAAAAGAAAUGCCUAAAGUCAGGCAAAGUUAGAGAAGAGAAAGUUAGAGAAUCUUAAUCCCAUGUAAGGGAGAGGAUCCACUGACUUUGUGAAGGAGACUGCACCCUAGCUUUCUCUAUAUAUCUCUCUAACAAUCCACUCUCUCACCUCUCUUUUCCCUUUUUUCUCUGUUUUUCAAUUCUCUCUCCACAAGAAAUGCCUAAAGUCAUACAAAGUUAGAGAAGAGAAAGUUAGAGAAUCUCAAUCCCAUGUAGGGGAGAGGAUCCACUGACUUUGUGGAGGGGAUUGCACCCUAACUUGCUCUCUAUAUCUCUCUAACAAUCCACUUUCUCGCCUCUUUGUUCCCUUUUUCUCUGUUUUUCAAUUGUCUCUCCACAAGAAAUGCCUAAAAUCAGGCAAAGUUAAACAAUCUCAAUCCCAUGUAGGGGAGAGGAUCCACUGACUUUGUGGAGGGGAGUGCAUCCUAACUUUCUCUUUAUAUCUCUCUAACAAUCCACUCGCUCACCUCUCUUUUCCCUUUUUUCUCUGUUUUUCGAUUCUCUCUCUACAAGAAAUGUCUAAAGUCAGGCAAAGUUAGAGAAGAGAAAGUUAGAGAAUCUCAAUCCCAUGUAGGGGAGAGGAUCCACUGACUUUGUGAAGGGGACUACACCCUAACAUUCUCUCUAUAUCUCUCUAACAAUCCAUUCUCUCACCUCUCUUUUCCCUCCUUUUUUUCUCUGUUUUUCAAUUCUCUCUCCAUAAGAAAUGCCUGUUAUUACCUGAAGCAAACCAUAUGAGACUUAAACACAAUAUUUUGAGAUUACAUGUAUGUUUGAAUGAGCGGUGAGAUUGAAAAAACACAGUGCCACCGUAAUUGUGAAAGCGAAAGUAUUGAUCUAAAUUAACAAAGUAGAGACAAAUCAAACACAGAAAAAUGUGAUAGCACCUUUUCCACUAUAAUUCGGUACAAAUAUAUUGACAAUAUUUGUUUCCACCUUUAUAGGUUCUUCCAAAUCCUUGGCUAAAAAUCAAAAAUACAUUCUAUUUUUGGAGAUGCAUUUCCAAAGACACUCAUUUUUUACAAAAUUGAAUGCCAACGAGUAAGACAUCCCAAUUAUACCUAAUUUUUGUUCGGAGAUGCAUCACCAAAUAUUUUUUUGAUAUAUUUCGAAGAUGCAUAUUCAAAAGUAGCUCAGAUACUUCAAACCAGAAACAAUGACAAUAUGAGAAAGAUUUAGAAACAAAAUCAACUUGACAAAAAAUUGAAACACUCAACAUUACAUAGAUAGUAUAGUUGUUAACGUAAAUUUAACAUUAGAGAUAGUUACAAACAAGUAGUUCAGGAUGUUGCAACAUAUUGAUAAUAUCAUCGGAGAAUCUUUCAAUCUUUGCAUCCACUUCAAUCGAAGCAUUUGAUGCGUAACGGUAAAAUGUACUCCAAAUGACCUGUAAAUCUUCAUUCGUCUUUAGUUCAAAGUUGGUGAACUGUAUCUUCCCUUCGCUGUCAAUCGAUGAUGAACGAUACUCAAGCUUGAUAACUCUUUGAUUUUCUGGAUAUCGCAGGAGAGUAUUCAGUUUAGUUUUCAGAUCGACGAGAAGUAUGUCGUCGCAGAAUCGAAAUUGAAGUGAGAGUUUUACACAAUUGAAAUACACAAAUGCUUUUAAGAAUAAUAAGUCAAGUGUGAGUUGGAGUUCCGCAUUAGUUAUAAAUGUGGAAAUUUGAUCAUUUAUAAGUGGGAGAAUCCACACACAUAUCACCUUAAGGUUUUUGGUGAAUAUGUGGUGUCUCUCUCACUUGUGUUUUGCUCUUAGUCCAAUGUUGAUGCUCCUUCUCAUGACCCAACAAAUGGUAUUAGAGUCUAUGGGGAUAUGCAUUCAUUAUCUUGUUGUAAAAAAAACAUGGGUUGAGAGACACCCUAUUUAUACAAGUACUGAGUCACUUUGGACCUCAAAAACCUUAUCAUGACAUCAGGUCACUUUUCAGAUCUCUGAUUAAACCCUGAUUUUUUACGAAAAAAUGGUGUUAACGGAUAUGCAUAUCCGAAAAAUUCUUGGAUCAUUUUUUUCAAUAUGUAUGAGGUUUAUUCGGAUAUACAUAUCCGAAAUUUACCCUGAAGCAGAAUCAAACUAGAACUUGUGUCUGCAAAAACAAAAAAUGCAAACCAUAAAAUUUGUAAAAUGAAAAAGUCGACAUUAACAUCGUCAUUGUUGAAUAAAUAUUACUAAAUUGUUAAUUGAUAAACCAUCCUAAUGAAAGCGCUAUUUAAAUGACUUCAAAAAACUUUUCAGAGAUGUAUCUGCAAAUUCACCCCAGAAAUCUUUCUUCGCAUAUGUAUCUCUGAACUAAAUUUUAACAAAAACUUGAAUUUGAUAAGUUCGAAUAUGCAUCUUCGAAAAAGUAUAGAGUCAUUUUUGAAUUUUCAAAGGUGCGGCCCACACUUCAUAAAAGUGAAAAAAGAAAUUGCGAAAUAUAUUUUGUUUACAUCAAAGGUAGAGAAAGUUAAUUCCAAGUUUGUUUAACUAUUUAUCCUCCAAAAGAAAUGGCCCAGUUGACAUAACUAUUCUAAAAGGGAUUUACGGAAAUUGGGUUUUCUUGAAAUUCAGUGGUUUUAAGUUAAGUGGUUUUUAAAACAAGUGAAUUUGCAAUGGUAUCAAUCAUCCAUAUCAGUAUUAGCACCGUGAAACAUGUUAACUCAUAAUGCUGCUUAUUCUCAUGAGAUUAAAUCCAUAUCUGUACUAGUACUUUGUUAUGCAUCCAUACAUGUUUUGUUUAUGAUGGCAUGGAAAUAGUCACUUCUUCCAAAACAAAUCAUAUGGUACAAUAACAUAAAUUUUGGACACUACAUUUCAUAUAAAACAAUGAAUUGCAACCGUCUGUAUUUACUAGUACUAGUUUCAUGAUUCCAACUACAAGUUUUCACCAUCAUCACUACUGUCAACUGAAGAUAAACUACAAAAUUUUGAGUGGGUAAGCAACAUGCCAAAUCUUCGCCACCUAGACUGGACAACUAAAGAAGUUUCAGUCCACCUGUUACCUCGUCUACCACUUCAACAGGUCCUGCACAUGAAUAUCAUGUUAAAAUCGAACUAUCUUGAGCUAUAUAAAAAGAAAAGGAAAAGCUAAACUGGCAUCGGAAAAAAAUGGUCAUUGUAUUAGAGAAGAGUAUUACCGAGAAUCGCCAUCACCGUUCUGGAAUCUAGAAGGAAAAAAAAACUAUCAUAAGCAUUAAAUAUAAACUAACAUUAUACCGGACAAAAAUAGAAUAUGUAACAAAAGAAGGUUAUUCAUUCUGAGUACUUUUUAAAAUGUAAAUCCACCUAUAUUAUUUCAGACACAGUUAUAAAGUCCAAAGGAACCAACUGCACAUCUCUUUUCUUCAGAAUACAAGGAUGAACCAGCAUUUUCAAGCAUGGAUUUCAUUAUUAGGGGAUUGCUUGAAAACUAUCUCUAGUUUCAGUUCUAGUUGUACUGGCUUCUACAGACACAGUUUAAUUGAUAUAUCCAGACAAUUAUAGUACUUGAAUAUUUACAUCAACUAUCAAGUGUUAGACGUUAAUAAUUUUUUCAUAUUUCCGUUAGGAAGAUAAAGAACACAAACACAGGUAAAAGUUCCAAUUAUAUGGCAAAACACUACACAUCAGUCAGAUAACAAUGGAAUAAGAGUAGUUUGAAAUACUUACUCGGUGCAAUCUGUGUUCGCCCCGCAUCAAUUGUGAUAUGAGUAGGUAACUUCAGAGAUUUAGCCCUUUCCUAACACAUCAAAUGACAAUUUCACUAAAUCAAAAUCUAUCUUAUAGAUAGGAGAGUCAUACAUAAUGCAUUUGACUUAAAAUUUAAGAUAGUUCGGAAGAUAAACAUGUAAGAACCUGAUUUGGAGAAAUUGAUGCGGAUGGAAUGAGAAGACAUUUAUUUGUAGACAAAGAUGAUACCAAUCAUAAAUCAAAUAUAGUUUAUAUAUUAUCUGCUAUUUGAGAUUUUGAUGAUAUGCUGAAUGCAUUAUAAAACUUGUUUCUGCUAUUCUUUUUGUUAAAAUAAAAGACCUGGUGAUUUACACCCUCAUAGAUUACUACAAUUUCUAACUAGGCUUAUUAAACCUUUCAUAGGAGUUACUUUAAUAAUAAUAAAUGACAUAUCUAACUUACAAGUUUAACAAACCGGAUGCAAUCCAAGUAUUAUUAGAAUAACAUAUAAGAAAUAUAAAAUGCUCAUUUACUUUGAGUUCAAUGUUGUAACACAAGCUAUGAACACUUCAGCUUUUAGGGUGGCCAAUUUUUUUAUGCUAUCGAUACCUCUCUCCCAGACCAUUCAUUGUUUAUAACAUGAUUUACAAACUCUUAUCCAAAGCUUUCAUAUCUGUAACUUCUUUUGUACUUUUCCAUACAAUUUAGUACAAACUAAAGAUAAUUCAAUUAAUCUUUUCAGCCUAACAAAUUAAAAGGAUAUUUUUCUUUAAAAUUGGGCAUUUUUUUAAAUCAAAAUUUUUCCGUUGAAUACUUUUCACCACUUCCUCUCCCUUCCCAAUCAUCAUAUACAGCCCGAAUUAUAAACUGUUACUAUAGAGACCUUUCACUUCAUUUAUGUUAACUAGCAAUCCCAGACACCAAACUUUGCUUUUUAAUAUAUAUAAGCCACAGUAUUCUUUUGGACAGCUUUAAAACCUAUAUGAUUGCAAUUGUCGGUAAGCAUAUAGGUGCAUUUUCUAAGUUUGAAGUUUGCAGAUAAGGUUUUCACAGUUAAGCCCAAGUUUCAUGCCUCGCACCUCAACGAAAGCAUCCCUUUCCUAGUCCUCCUUUUCAUUUGUUGUCAUAAUCACAAUCAAUAACUGACCAAAGUAUAGUGAGCAGGUAUCCAGUAAAAACGUAGAAAAAUUCAAAGAGAACUUAGCUAAUGUAGCACAAGAUUUCCCUAAGAAUCAAACAAUACAUACUUGCAAAGCCAGCAUAUCUUCUUCACUUUCAAUUUUGACAACAACCUUGGGCUGCGCAGACAUCUCCCACCUGCACAUUCGCAUUGAAAACUGAGAAUGAAGUUACACAAUUCAAGAUGACCAAAAGCUCAACCAGUGACAGUACCUAUUUAAAGCCUUUGGAGCUCGAUAAAGAACCUUUUUGUAGAGACCCAACGUUGCAUGACUACAAAAAGAAAAAGAGACAGAAAACUGAGCUAGAACCAUUAAACGUGUUUUUUGCAAUAUAAAAAAUAAAUAAGCAACGAAAAAACAAAAAUAGGAGCAAUAAAUAUGUCCACCCUUCACAUGGAUGAGGGAUCUCUAUGCCAGGAUGCUUCUGCAACAAACUAGAGAAAUAGAGAGUUUUAUUACCCUAAUGUUCACACUCUAAGCAAUAGUAAUCUAUUUGGAAGGUACUCACAGUUUCAAACAAACAGCCGCUGAUUGGAUUGGCUUAUUCAAACUUAAUUACAGCAAUAACUACCUAUGAUGCUAGUUGAGAGAGCAUAUAGAAACAACUUAGGAUUAUUUUCACAAGUUAUCCCGGAUAGCUUAUACAAACAGCUUAUAAGUAAGUUAUAGCUUAUAUAAAAACAUUUAGGCUUUAUUCUAUAUUUCAUCAUAAAAAACUUAUACAUAAGCACUUAUAUGAUAAACACUUAGCUAAGUUGUUUAACCAAACAAAACCAAAGUAACAUUAGCAAAGAUUACAUACCUGCAUUGAGCUGCAAUUUUUCCUUUACCCAUUUUAAGAUCAUUUCGAACAACGAGUAUCUACAAAAAAAUAAUAAUAAUAAUAAUUUUUAGACAACCCAUCAAAAUAAAAUUAGUAGGUUAGAAAAAAAAUAAUUUUUUUUUGUGAUUUACCAUCUUAAAAUCCUCGAGAAUUUCCGCGAGCUGUUCAACCUCAAGUGAGUCUUUGAUUUUGGACUUACUAUUCUUCUUCUGCUUACUGUUAUUGUUGUGAUUGAGAAGUGAAUCAUCUUUCUCUUUAAGGGAUGAAAAUCUAUUCGAGAAAAAGAAACGAUGGGGAUAGUGAGAACCAAUGAAGUAGCCGAAAGCGAGAUAACCGGCGCCGACCAAAAUUGCACUCAACCAUGAUACUUCCAUUUCAAUCACUUGAGAAGAUGAAGAUCACGGUUGGGAUUUUAGGGUUCUGAAAAGGGGAUUUUAGUAAUUAAUAAAAUAAAGUAAAAACACACUUUACUUUCGGCAACAACAACAACAACAACACCGAAUGAAUUAACUCUUUGAAAACUUCUACUUACACCCUUAUAAACCUAAUUACUAGCUAUUUAAUUAAUAGAAUGCCAAAAGGACUCCUAGGAUGUCACAAACUAAAAAACAAAACAAUAAUUUUAAAUUUGCAAGAUGUUUUUACGGGAUAAAAAAACUAAAUUCUUAAAAAUAAAUAAAUUGUGGCUAAGGAUGUAACUCAAUUUUAGAAAAGAGGGAAAGUGGAUUAAGAUAUCAACUUUAAAAGAUAUCUUGAAUUUAGUUAUGAGAUCAAUAUUUUGAUUGUCUUUGUAGAGGUAGGGAUAACUCUAUACAUGUUGUUUUCGGUUUAAGAUAUCUUAAAUAUUCGAGAUCAAUAUUGCAUGUUUAGGAUAUUUAUUCAAGGGAUUCUUGAUGAGCUUGAUUCGAAAGAAGAGUCUAUGUAGUAUGAUGAGUUAAUAACUUUCAUAUCUUUGACUAAUGAGAGUCUUUCGUGAAUGAUCCAAAGUUCUACUUAGAGGAUAUUUGUAUGGAUUGGUAUGAAACGAGAGAACUUGCAUUGUCAGGUCCCAUAAUAGUUGCAAAAGAUAUCACUUAAGUCAAUACGGUUUGGUGUGUCAUUUUAACUUCCAUCAACAUUAAUAAUAGUGCAUGAGAAGUUGUGGAAAUUGCACAUUUUGCUUCGUUAAAGUUUUACUAAACCAAGUAUGAAAGGAGUGAAGGAGAAUAGCGAUCCAAAAUGCAACGGAAAUUAAAAAAUUCUCCUUCAGUGAUCCUUACGAAUGGGCAUGAUCAGUGAUAGAAUCGUUACCUCUUGUGGCGAUUGAAACCCUUGAUGCAGAUCGAAUGAGUGAUCAUGAACGUUGAAUGGUGACAACGCCUCUACUCAGUCCACACGAACGAAUUCCUUCAGUCUCAGUGUUAGCUGCUACGAAUGAAGGCUUUGAGUGAAAGAAAGAGAGAAACAAAAUUUUCAUCUGAUUCAAUGUUUCUGCACAAGGGUUCUAUUUAUAGAACCACUUAUGUGGGUUGUAAGCUAAAAUGUCAACUUAAAUGUAUGUGGCUCAUAUCUUAUGAUAUACCAAAAUCACUUAAGCGCGUGGUACCUUACCAUAUUUCGUAUUCUACUUAAGUGCAUUGUACCUUACGAUGUUCUACAAUUCACUUAAGUGCAUCGUACCUUACGGUGUUCCUUAUUUACUCUAUCUCUCAUCAAUCUGUCCUUUUGUGUGUGACCCUAUAGGUUUUCGCGGCAUUGGCGAUUAUAUUAAAUCACGCAUUUAACAUAAUAAAUAGUGAGCAGUAUUUAGCAACACAUCACUGCUACCCAAGACACGAAAAUGUCAUGUGAUCUGACAAAUCUUUUUGUGAUAAUAGUUAUGUGUGUAAUUACCCUUUUGCACUUAUGUCUAUAUUGAACACAAGGCAUAGACCGUGUCAUCCUUGUCCAGUUCAAUAUUGGGCCCUUAGACAUUCAUCCUGUUAUGCAGGAUGGGCAAAUUCCAUCUAGGUCACUCAUGUCCUUCAACAUGCUUCAUUGAGUACCCAUCAACUGUCUUUAUGUUCAUCCAAUUACGAACAAUGUUUGAUCAGCAAUAAAGCACUCGACUCUACAUCUAGGGUCCAUAGUGGUUUCAGGUCGAAGGGUGGUAUACACCACUAUCACCAUGAGAAUAACUUAUGACACUUUGCAUAACAUUCUAUUAGUAUUUCAUAGCGGGACAAUCUAGUAUAAUAUUACUCAUAAUAUUCAUACUAUGUUUAGACUUGAUAACUCCUAUCCAUGAUCCAUAAGAUGUGAUCAUCAGUUCUAUUAUAACAUAAUAAUCUUUAAUGCUUUAAUAUUAUCCACUUUCACAAUAAAACUCAACUACGGAUACUUUAAGAAUAGUUGUUCUUAUGUUUAUGGGAAUUUCAUUGAUUAAGUCAACUUGAUACAUUAAAACAGGACUAGUGAUAUCUUAGGACGUUUAUUAAACAACUAUUAAAGAAAAGCUUUUUAUAUUAAUAAAUAAUUCGAUACAAGUACCAAAAAGUAUUGGGCCUCUAGGUGCAUUACACCAACAAUAUCCACGUAGCACUAGAGUCAUCAGGCAUACCUAAUGCCCAUAGGAUCUUAGUAUGCCCAUCAUGGCUUCUGUGCGCCAAAGGGCUUUGUCAGUGGGGUCAGCAAUAUUGUUCAAGUGUAGUUACUCUGCAUAUUUUCCAUUCACCUCUAUCUUUUAUCUCUCGAUGGAGGUUGAUAACUCCUAAGUAUGUUGUUUGGAUCGUUGGUUGAGAUUUUAGUGGCUCCUAGCUGUGCGAUAGGCACCAUUGUUAUCACAAUAGAGACCAAGUCCAUAAUGCUAGGACUAUGACAAGUUCACUAAUGAACUUUUGAUUCAAACAACGUUUCUUUGCUGCAUUGAGGCAAGUUAAUAUACUCGGCCCGUUGUAAAAUUAGCAACUGUAUGUUGCUUUAACGUUUUUCCAGCUCACAGCGCCACCGUUUUAAGCAAAACACAUAACCAGAUUGCAAUCUAAAGUCAUCCUUAUCUGUCUGGAAGUAGUCGGCCUGUAUCCAAUUACAGUCAGCUCUUCUUGACCUUCCAUUAUAUCAAGAAUGAGUUCCUUAGUCCUUCUAAUAUUAAGGAUAUUCUUGAAGCUACCGUAAGCAUCCCGGGAUCAGAUUGGUUACUACUCGUUGCACUAAAGCAUACGAGACAUCUGAUCGAGUACAUAAUAUGGCAUACAUUGAUAGAUUCUAUUGCAGAUACAUAUGGAAUCUUAUUCAUGUAUCCCUUUCUUCUAGUGAAGGUAUUUGUUUUUGAUAGACACGGGCCAUGUUGCAUAGGUAUUGAAUCCUUUUCGUUGGGUCAUGCAUAUUAAGCAUUCAGCACUUUGUUAUGUAUGUACUAUGACUUAGGCCAAAAUUUUGUGAUCUAUCUCUAUAGAUUUUGAUUCCUAAUAUUAGGCUGCUUCCCAGGUCCUUCAGUAGAAAAGGCAUUUUCCCCAACCAAGACUUUACUUGUUGCAGGGUAGGGACUCAUUUCCCAAUGAGUAAUAUGUCAUCGUACAUAUAAUACCAGGAAGACGAUCAUGCUCCCACUAACCUUCUUUAGCACCAAAGGCUCAUCUUCAUCGUGAUGAAUCCAUAUCGUUUUAUAUUCAUCAAAACGAAGAUUCCAGCUUCUGGAAAGCUUGCGUUCAAUCCAUAGAUUGAUCUUUGUACUUAGUAUUAUCUGAGGUCUGGUUGUCAAAUCGUUCAGGUUUAUGUGCAGUACACACUCCUUCAAACAAGUUCCCUAGGGAAAGCAGUUUGACAUCCACUACCAUAUUUCAUAAUCAUAUAUGCAGCGAUAGCAAGUAAAAUCCGAAUAGAUUUUAAAGCAUGCAACUGGUGAAAGGUUGUCAUCAUAUUCAAACCCAUGAAGUUUGUUUAUAUCCUUGCAACCAGUCUUGCUUAUAGGUAUGUGACUUACCUGUCUAUGUUGUCUUUCUUUUUGAAGACCCACUGUGCAUCCGUUAGGGUUAACUCCUCAUGGAGGAUCUACCAAGUGUCCAAACCUUGGUUUGUGUACAUGGAAUCCAUUCAAAUUUCAGUUGGUUCUAGCCACCUCUCGGACUCGGGACCAAUUAUAGGCCUCUUGGUUAGUGUUGUCCCCUAAAUUUCCCCUCCUAUUUCUCACCGUAUUGUAAUCUAAUCACUUGAGUCAAGAGUGACUUGCAUACAUCCAUAACUCAUCCACAUGCAUCAUUCCUUAUGAUUUCAAAAGAAAGUGGCCCAUAUAGCUACGGGCUCACACAGGUAUCAAAGUCCAAAGGCAUGGGUUGAUCACAUCAUCGAGCAUAAGGAAUGUGAAACCCUAAUGAGGGUAGUGAAAAGACUUGAUUCAACAAAGGUGGAACCAAUCCUUCUGGGGUCCUUUAAAGCUCUAAUUCUCAAGAACAUGAUCUCAUGAAGCUUCCCUAACCCUUGUCGUGGGGUCUUCAAAACCCUGAUGUAAGGAUUUGAUGAUUGAAACACUUAUGUUCGGAUAAUAGCAAGGGACUUGCUUUAGGGGGUAAAGGNNNNNNNNNNNNNNNNNNNNNNNNNNNNNNNNNNNNNNNNNNNNNNNNNNNNNNNNNNNNNNNNNNNNNNNNNNNNNNNNNNNNNNNNNNNNNNNNNNNNGGGGGGGUGAAUUAGGUGGUUAAAAAUUCUUCGAUCUUGUUUCCGGUUUUUGGUUAUUUUUCGUUUAAGUGCGGAAAAAUAAAUUGCGGAAAGUAAAAAGACACCGGAAUUUAUAGUGGUUCCCUUCACAAUCCGAAGGUACAUCCACUCCCCUUUCGACUCGAAAGAGAUUUCACUAUAGUUAGAAUUAUUGUACAGCCUACUCACACCAAUGGUGAUGCUUACUAUCUAACCUAUAGAUAAUCAAGUGUGCAAGAACAAUCCUCUUGCAACACCAACCCUUGUGUCCAACAAUCCUGGAUCACAAGUCAAACAGAAAUAAAUCUUUUUGAUGAUUUGAAUAAAGUGUAGCACUAUCAAUCUUCUCUUGAUUGAUCUUCUCCUUAGAUAAAUAAUUCACUCAAUGAAUAAUAUAUAAGUGUUCAACAAUAAAUGGAAUGAGAUGAAACAAGAAUGUUCAAAAGUUUCUUCUCAAAAUUUUGGUUAUGAACACUUUUAUGAAAUAUUGAAAAUAUGAAAGAGUGAUUAUCUUAAGUUUUUAUGAAAGUUCUUGGAGGUGAAUUUUCAUUUAAAAAUUCAAGAAUUUAUAUUGACAAAACACCUUUUCAAAGAGGUAUAAUUUUCUUUAUAAAAAAAAUGAAAAGGUAUAAGUUUUUGAAAAACAUUUUUCACUGAAACGAACAGUGUUAACCGGUUAACGCGUAUAACGUUAACUAACGAAGUUCAAAAACAGGGCUGUUAACCGGUUAACCCAUAUGGUUAACCGGUUAACACUGUUGAAAUGCAGAAAAAAACUUUAAGAAAAUGUGUCUUUCAUUUCAACAUGUUAACAAAUGGUUCGAUUUAAAAAUGGAAAUGCAAAAUAUGAUUGUUGAACACUUGUAUACUAAUCUAAGAGUGAAUUAGAUAUACCUUAGAAGUGAAUCAACAAACUUGCACAAGUGUUGGCUUGAAAAAAGAAGCUUGAUCAAAAUGUUGCUUAUGCAUAUGUGGCUUGAUCAAUUUGAUGCUUGAAUUCUCUUGAAGCUCUUCUCUUUUUGCAUUGAUACAUGUUGUCUUCAUCAAAGUUCUUUUGGAUUGAAGCAUGCUUCUACAAGAUUCACAUUUAGACUCGAAGAAUACCGUUCAAUAUACAUAAAUGCUAAAAUGUCAUAGUUUUGACAUCAUACAAAACAUUUAUAAUAUGAAGGUGCACUCACAUACUCCCCUUUUUUGAUGAUGGCAAAACUUACGACAAUGCAUUUGAUGUCUUCAUAAAGGCUCCCCCUGAAUGUGUGUAUCAUAGCUUGCAUCUGUUUUUCCCCUUUGAAAUAACUGAUAUUGAUGUCAAAACUUCUCCACAUAUCUUGAUUUGAUUCACCAGUUUGGUAACCCUAGUGAAAAAAUCAGUUAUGCUUUCAUUGCCUUCCGUCCGAAGCAAUUCAUAUGUUCUUUUGUGAGUUUGUAACUUCACUUAUUUCACAUUUUCUGCGUCUUCAAACGAUUUUUCAAUAAUUUUCCAUGUUUUUUUCGAUGGUUCAACAUCACUAACCUUUUCGACACUGUCUGCAUCUACGCAUUGAUGGAUCAUAACGAGAGCUUUAUAACUUUUUUCUUCAAUUCUCUGUGUCCAACAUUUUCUUCAUCUGUCGCGUUUGCUGCAAACUGCGCCAAACCCUCCUUCACAAGAUCCCAAAGAUCUCUAUAGCAAAAAAUAACAUUUACCUGCAUGCACCAAUUCUCAUAAUUUUGAUUCUUCAGAAUUGGGAGACUCGCCGGAAAAUGUGCAUUCAGAUGAUUCAUCACCAUCGUGUUUUGCUUCCCACGAAUCGCUCAAUCAGUGCUCUAGACACCAGAUGUUGGAAAUUCACCAAUUCCCCUUCAAGAAAUUCACCAAAAACUAUGGAGAAUUUCGAACUAAAUCUUGUUGAACAAGAAUCAAUCUUUUUGAUUGAUUACUCAUUUUAUUCUUCACUUUUUACUCGAGUGAAUCAACCACACUAGGUUGCGAGAUUUCGUUGCAUAAUGGUAAUGAAAAGAAGAAAAAUUGAAUUGGAGAAGAAAGAGAGAUUAUGGUUUUCGAAUAAGGAAGAAGAAGAAAUUUCUGCAAAAUAACUCUCUGCUCUCAAACUGAGAUUUUAUUUCUUUGCAACUGCAAAUAUGUGCUCAAUUACAAUCAAUAAGAGUUACUACUUAUUUAUAGAUUUUGGGCUUGCUUGCUUCUAAAGCAAAACCCAAAUACCUACUAAUGUUGCUAAUAUUGCAAAGUUAGACAUACAUAAAAAUCCAUGCUGAAGCUAACUCCUCAACACUUCAACACAUAAGUGUUUUGAUAGCAACAAACUUCGACAUCAUAAAUUACAUUCUCAAUAUUUUUUAUCAAUUGAACUAGAAUUUACUGAAACAUAGCUAUGUUUUAUUUAAGGAGAAAUGCAUCUACAUAUAUUUAAGAAAUCAAUUUAUUUUAAAGUAAAAAUAAAUAUCAAAUCUUAGUUUUCACAACACAAGUAUACACCUAUCAUAUAAAGAAAUGGAUUAUGCAUUUUAAUUUUCAAAACAUAUUUCUUUAUUAAAAAGCUAGCACAAGUAAUAAUGGAGAUAGGGGGUGUACUUUUGAAAGAAAAAAGAAGGAAGAUGUAUUAGUAAAAGCAAAUCCUAUGUUUUGGUGUACUAGAAAAAAUGGUUCAGCCCAAACGUAUGUUUUUGUCCGAAAAACAACAACAUCGAGAUUUGCCGUCAAGGGUGGCGAUGACGGCGAUGAUUCCUUAAGCUCUUGGCUUUCAAAGGUUCCAUCUUUUACUCUUUUUCAUAUCUGAAUCGUUAAUACAAACCCUAGGUACAACGGUUAUGUGUUUUGAAAAGUGAAAAUGUUUUUUUUACUAAUUGAGGUUUCAAAGCGAUAAUACUUACUGAUAUUCUUUCAAUGGAAUCACAUUAUGUUCAUUUUGCUAAAGUUUUAGGGUUUUUUAUUGUGUGAAUUCUAACUCACCUAGAAGCCACUUCAUAACUGAUUUUGAUUUUUGAGCCUCUUUUUUAUCUGGCAGAACAUUUCCAGCAUCUAAAGUUAUUGUGCUGAAAUCAUGUGUGAUUGUCAAUAAGGAUUUCCUAUUCCUCAAAUCAGAUGGCUUUUUUGUUUCAGAAAUUUCAAGAGGUAUCUUCUUAUCUUAUGCUUUACUUCAAAAGUAGUUACUUAUUUGCAGUGAUUAUAGCAAGACAUGUUUAAGUUAUCAAUAUUCAUAUGUUUAAAAUUGAAAAGACUUAGAAACGACAACAGUUUUAUAAGUAGAAUCGUUGUAAUAGAAGAAAAUAAUGUUUUACUUUUACCGAUUGUCCGUGGUUUUAGGCUAAUUUAAAGUUCAGUUUUUAUCUGUUGUGCAUCCUGUGAAGUUUAUUACAAAAGUCUUGAUUUUGAUUUGUUUUCAGGCUGUGAAAACCCUUGCCAAAAGUCCCACUUUUGCUUUUGCUAGGGAUCCAAGACGACUACAGUUUGAAGUCGAUCUUAAUCGUUUGUUCCUCUAUACAAGGUAAGUGUUUUUUUUGUCGUCUGCAUUUAAAAUUCAAGGGUGCAUUAAACUAGUUAUACAUUGCUAAUUAUUACUCCCUCUGUGCCAAAACUCUAGUUGUUUAAGCAUUUUAGUUUUAUUUCAAAACUUUGUGUGUUUUAGAAACCCCAAGAUAUAUUUGACAUUUUUCUUCCAAAUAUACUCCUAAAUGUUGUUUACAAUAUUAUUUAUAAAUUUAUAAUGAGAUAUUUAUAGGUAUUUGUGAAGCAUUUAACUAGUACGAUAUUGACAUUUUGAUACUUAUAUACACACAUCAAUUAUAUGAUUCCUUAAGCUAUAAGCAAAUACCUUAAACAACUCAAGUUUUGGAAUGGAGGGAGUACCGACAAUGGUUGCAUACAAAAUGCCUGUUUUACACCCUCUACUUCUUGUGACCUAUUGUUAAUGUAUAGAAAUAGACUUGUCCUAGAUAGUGACCCUUCUAAGGAUACUACUAGUGAGAAAAUACUUGUUUCCUUCUGUUUAUUUAAUACAGCUUUUCUAAAGACUGUUAAUAAUAUUGGAAAGAGAUCCUGAAUGAUAGGAUUAUGCUGAUUAUGAUGUAAUCAGUAAAGUAAACAAAAUAUAAUAAAACAAUUAAGAAACAAAAUAAAAUCUGAUUAGGCUGCCGCUUUCUUUCUCUAUUAUUGCCACCUACAAAAGCAUCCACAUCAUCACUAUCUUAUCGGCUUUGAGCUUGUCCUCAAACCCUGGAUAAGCUUGUUGGAAGUGGUAUACCGGUUUCCAAAUGGCAUUUUCUUGAGGAUAUCCAGCUCAAUGCUCUUACAGCUCCUGUUUCCUGCUAUUGGUCCUACUGCAAAGAAUAGCAUGAGGAGUGGGUAAGGCUUUGCCGUUGUCAUGUAUGUGUGAUAAAUUUGGUAAUUCUCCUACAGCAGCUGGUUGGGAUCCUUCAUGCUCUUUAAGGAGAGGUGCAUCAAACACAUUCUGUUUUCUAUUGUCUGCAAGUAGCUAAAGCUUGUACACAAUAGAUCGUACGUUGGCUUGACACUUGACACUGAAAGGAAUAAAAUACUUUUGGAAGAAGUUUGAUGUUUUUGUUUAGCCAUUGUCGACUGGCAAUAUGAUUGAAAUUGUAGCUAUACCGAACCCCUAUCCGGUAAACUCAAUAUUGAAAAUAAUAAGUAGAAGUUGUUCUAUUUUAUUCCUCAGCCAAAAGCUGGCUUAUAUAGUGAGAAUAUAAUUAAUACAAUUAAUUCUCUCCUUAACGGAGAAUAAAGGUAAAUGAAUGACAAUAAACGGAAACAAUAAAAACGGAGAAACAAAAUAUUUUCCAACACCCCUCUUCAAGUUGGUGCAUAUAUAUCUAUCACGCCCAAUUUGUUUAUCAAAUGUUCGAAGGUAGGUCUUGUCAAACUUUUGGUCAGGAUAUCCGCAGUUUGCUGAUUUGAAGUAACGAAAGGUAGACAUAUGAUUCCAACAUCUAACUUCUUUAUGAAGUGUCGAUCAUUCUCAAUAUGCUUGGUUCUGUCAUGUUGAACUGGGUUAUGAGCUAUGCUAAUAGCAACUUUACUGUCAGAGUAUAAUUUCAAUGGAAGCUCAAUUUUCAUCUUAAGUCCUUUUAAGACUCUAAGGAUCCAUAAUCCUUCACAAAUACCUUGAGACAUAGCUCUAAACUCGACUUCUACAUUACUUCCUUGCUACAACUCCUUGUUUCUUGCUCCUCCAUGUGACAAGAUUACCCCAAACAUAGGUACAAUAUCCAGAAGUUGAUAUUCUAUCUGUGACUGAACCUGCGCAAUCAAUAUCGGUGAAGGUAGACACAUUUUUUUCACUAGUCUUCUUAAAAAAUAAGUCUUUUCCAAGAUUUCCCUUCAAGAUGUUCCUCUAAAGGAGAAUGUAUAAACUGACUUUCUACACUCACCGAGAAAGCAAUAUCAGGACGAGUGUGUGACAAAUAAAUCAGUUUAUCAAUCUUUGAUAUCUUUCAGUAUCAACAAGAACAUUACCUUCUCCCUAAAGUUUAACAUUAGGAUCCAUAAGGGUAUCUGCAGGACGACAUCCACUCAUUCCUGUUUCUUUCAAUAAGUCUAGAAUGUAUUUUUGUUAUGAAACCACAAUACCAUUCUUUGACCGAACAACCUUGAUACCUAGAAAAUAUCUCAUGAAUCCCAAGUCCUUGAUUUCAAAGUCUACUGCCAAUUUCUCUUUUACUCUUGCCAUUUCUGCUGUAUCGUCUUCAGUAAGGACAAUAUCAUCAACAUAAACAAUCAGGGCAACAUUUUUCCCAUCGCGGGAGAACUUUGUGAACAGGGCGUGGUCAACCUGUCCUUGGAUGUACCCUUGUUUCUUCAUGGAUUGAGUGAGUUUUUCAAACCAGGCUCUAGGAGACUGUUGUAAUCCAUACAAAGACUUAUUUAAUUUGUAUACAUUUGAUCCAACUUUGAUUUCAAAGUCAGGAGGAAUGUUCAUAUAUACUUCUUCUAGAUCGCCAUUAAGAAAGAUAUUCUUAACAUCUAAAUGAUGUAGAGGGACAAAUUCAGGUUAACAGCAAGAGAUAAAAGAAUUCUGACAGUGUUCAAUUUUGCAACAUGUGCAAAUGUGUUUUAGUAGUCUAUACCAUAGGUCUGAGUAAAGUCUUUAGCCACCAAGCGAGCCUUAUAUCUUUCAAUUGACUCAUCUGAAAUAUACUUCACAGUAAACACCCAUUUGCAUCCAACUGUCUUCUUGUCAUGUCUUCUUGCUAUCUGGUAGCGUCGUAAGACUCAAAGUUUUGUUCUUUUCAAGAGCUUUCAUCUCCUCAAGUACAAUUUCCCUCUACUUUGAAAUUUCUAGAGCAACCUGUACAUAUUUUGGAAUUUCUACACUAGACAAUUUUGAGGUUAAGGUAGACAUAUAUGAAGACAAAUUUAAAUAUGAUAUAAAAUUGGACAUAGGGUGUUUAGUGCAAGAUCUAACAGAUUUUCUAAUGGCAACAUGAUCAUCUAUAUCAGGAUACAAAAUAUGACUCUCAGAAACAGAGAUAGACUUAACUUUCCUUUUCUUAGGAGGUUGAUCAUUCUCCGAUUCAGAUUCCUGGCAGUUUUAAGAUGUGGACUCGUCCCUUCCUUUGUGGUAUUUUUUCACAAAAGCCUUCCAUUUCCAAGUCAUGUUACCUAAUUCAAAUCUGUUUUCUUGAAGUGACUCAUUAUUUUGUGGCAUUUCAAUUAGAUCAUCAUUAUCAUCGUUUUUAGGAUUCUCAUUGUUUUCUACAAGAGAAAAUAUAGGCUCACAUUCACAAAAUUCCUUACUCAUAACAGAAGUAGGAUCAGAUAAAGAAUUAUGACAAUUUUUUGUUGGUGCAGAUGUAAAAGUCUCAGAAUUUUGUGGUAUAGGCAAAGAUAAAUUAUUUAAAAAAUGCAUGUCCUCGAUUUGAAAUUAGUCUUCAUUUAUAUCCCCCUUGAAGAUAAGUGUCAUCAAAAAAAGGUUUAUUUUCAAAGAAUGUAACGUCCAUAGUGACAAUUUUUUUUUUGUUUUUUGGAUCUAAACAUUUAUAUCCUUUUUGUGUUGGGGAGUAUCCAACAAAAACACAUUUUAUAGCACGCGAUUCAAAUUUUUCAAUAUUUUUAUGUUCAUGAACAAAGUCUGUGCAACCAAAGAUUUUUAAUGUCAUAUCAGUUAAAACACGAGUAGUAAGAAAACAUUCUUUGAAGACAUUAAUUGGAGUUUAAAAAUUGAGAAUUUUAGAGGGCAUUCUAUUUAAUUACGCAGCUGUUAAAACAGUUUCGUCCCACAAAUAAUUUGAUACUUUAUCUGAAAAAAGUAGAGCUCUAGCAACCUCCAAUAAAUGUAUUUUUCCUUUUAGCUACUCCAUUUUGUUGAGAAGUAUUAGGACAUGAACUUGGAUGUACAAUCUCAUUUUUAAAAAAAAAAUCAUCUAGGAUAAUGUUAAAAUAUUCUUUGCCAUUAUCACUUCUAAAGAUUUGGAUAUUUGUUUGAAAAUGGUUAUGCGCCAUUGUAAAAAAAUUCUUUACAGCCUGACAAACAUCUGAUUUUCCCUUUAGCAAAUACACCUAACAUACUCUUGUAUGAUCAUUUGUAAAUGUGAUAAACCAUUUUUUGAGAGCGAGUGUACUUGUAUGGUUAGGGCCCCAAACAUCACUGUGAAUAAUAGAAAAAAGUUUUUAUGAUUUAUAAGGUUGUAUUGAAAAUUGGGAACGAUGAUGCUUUGCAAACUCACAUGCUUCACAUUUAACCGAAGAAAAGUUCUUAUUAUGAAAUAACUUAGGAAACAAGUGUUUUAAGUAACGAAAACUAGAAUGACCUGAUCUUAAAUAUCAUACCAUAAUGUUGUCAUCUUUAUUAUUCAUGUUAAGAAAUGUGGUUGAAUCUAACUCAAUUCUACAAAACCGGUUGGUAGAGUGAGGAUUACCCCCACUUAUAAACACAUGUUCAAGUCAUAUAUUAUCCGAUGUGGUACUCUUAACACCCCCUCACGCUCAGGACUAGACAACUGGAGCGUGGAAAUAAAUUGUGGAUGACCUGAUAGCGGAAACCAUAGUAGGUGGCCCACCGGAUCUUAAACCAGACUCUGAUACCAUUGGUUGGUAGAGUGAGGAUUACCCCCACUUAUAAACACAUGUUCAAGUCAUAUAUUAUCCGAUGUGGGAUUCUGGCCUCACGCUCAGGACUAGACAACUGGAGCGUGAAAAUAAAUUGUGGAUGACCCGAUAACGGAAACCAUAGUAGGUGGUCCACCGGAUCUUAAACCAGACUCUGAUACCAUGUUAAGAAUGUGUGGUAAGUCAGUUCUUAAAUUCCUCUUGUCAGGAACACAUGGAUGUUGUUAUUCGGAUUCUGAGAUACAUCAAAUGUGCUCCAGGAAAAGGUCUAGUGUAUGAAAAUAAAUGACAUAUUCAGAUAGUUGGAUACUCCGAUGCUGAUUGGGCAGAGUCACCCAUUGAUAGACGAUUCACCUCCUGGUAUUGUGUACUUGUUAGAGGAAACCUUAUAUCCUGGAAAAGUAAGAAACAAAACAUGGUUGCAAGAUCAAGCGCCGAGGCAGAGUAUAGGGCAAUGACAAUGGCAACAUGUGAACUUAUUUGGUUAAAACAGUUGCUCAAGGAACUUCAAAUUGAAGAAGAAAGACCAAUGACAUUUAUUUGUGAUAAUCAAGCUGCAUUACACAUUGUUUCGAAUCCAGUCUUCCAUGAGAGGACCAAACAUAUUAAGAUAGACUGUUACUUUGUCAGAGAGAAAAUCGGGUCAGGUGACAUCGUCACAAACUUUGUCAACUCUAAUGAUCAAUUGGCUGACGUGCUUACAAAAUCCCCACGAAGCUCCAAAACUAAUUAUAUAUGUAACAAGCUUGGUGCAUUUGACUUAUAUGCUCAAGCUUGAGGGGGGUGUUGAUAUUUGUAAAUAUAGUGUUAAGAAUAUUUAUAUACUGAAUAGUCCCACAUCGACUAUAUCAUGUAACUAAUUGUAAUCUCUCUAUAUAUAAUAAAGUCUUCGUAGUGCUUUUCAAAAGACACGGUUUAUUCAAAUGUCUCUUAGUCUCUUGUAUUUCAACAUGUUAAAAAAUAUGAUUGGGCCUAACUCAACCCUACAAAACCGGUUGGUAGAGUGAGGAUUGCCUCAUUUAUAAAUACAUUUUCAAGCCUUAUAUUAUCUGAUGUGGGACUCUUAACACACCCUCUCAUGCUCAGGACUAGACAACUAGAGCAUGAAAAUAAAUGGUGGAUGACCCAAUAGCGAAAACCCUCACGUUCAGGGCUAGACAACUGAAGCGUGAAAAUAAAUGAUGAGUGGACUGAUAGCGGAAACCAUAGUAGGUGGCCUACCGGAUCUUAAAUCGGGCUCUGAUACCAUGUUGAAAUACAAAAGAUUAAGAGACAUUUGAAUAAACCGUGUCUUUUGAAAAACAUUACGGAGACUUUAUUAUAUAUAGAGAGAUUACAACUAAUUACAUGAUAUAGUCGAUGUGAGACUACUCGAUAUACAAAUAUUCUUAACACUAUAUUUACAAAUAUCAACAAUUCAAAACAGAAAAAGACUCGAAGUAGGAACUUAUUGUUUUUGAAGGUAGUUGUGAUGUAGAUCCAAUGUCAAGGUAGUAGAGUCCUCCACUCUCCUUAGCACUGCCAAUCAUCUUCCCUGAAUUCAAAUCCUGAAAGACACAGUGAGAUCGAUAAAAAUUAGUUUGACAAUUUAUAUCUUGGGCUAAUUUAUUGACGGACAUUAAAUUACAUGAUAAGUUUGGAACAUGAAGGACAUUUUUAAGAGUUAACAUUAGAGACAACACAAUUGACCCUUUAACUGCAAUGAUCGAAAAGGAGUCAUCUGUGAUUUUUAUUUUUUUAUUACCUGUACAUGGACUAUUUGAAGAGAACAAAAUAGAUUUAGCUGUCAUGUGAUCAGAGGCACCUGAAUCUGCUAUCCAAUUAUGAAUGAAACUUACAUUAAAAAAUGCAGAAUUAUCUUUUACUGCUAUAAAGCAAGAAGGGGUUGGAGACUCGAGGAGUUUGUACUGUCUGUGUAGUUGUUCUCAGCGCUGUGCAUACUCCUUGAAAGAUUCAUUCUCUUUCUGAGACAUGCUUUGAAGUUGAGUGCGAUUAGGAGCUAAGUCAGUAUUGUACUUAUACUGCUUAGAGAAAGCUUUUAGAAAGUUCAGCCCAAGUACGCACAUUAUUGCGUUUCAGCUGCAUAUACCACUCUAGAGAUGUCCCAGUUAAGCUAUCCUGGAAGCAGUGGAUCAUUAGCUUAUCGUCUCUAGCGUGCGCAACCAUUUUACGACAAUACAUCUUCAAGUAGCUCAAGCUUGUACACAAUAGAUCGUACGUUUGUCGGACACUGAAAGGAAUAAAAUACUUUUGGGAGAAGUUUGAUGUUUUUGUUUAGCCAUUGUCGACUGGCAAUAUGAUUGAAAUUACAGCUAUACCAAACCCCGAUCUAGUAAACUCAAUAUUGAAAAUAAUAGGUAAAAACUGUUCUAUUUUAUUCUUCAAUCAAAGGUUGUCUUGUAUAGUGAGAAUACAAUUAAUACAAUUAAUUCUCUCUUUAAUGGAGAAUAAAAAUAAAUACAUGAGAAUAAACGGAAACAAUAAAAACGGGGAAAUAAAAUAUUUUCCAACACCCCUUCUCAAAUUGGUGCAUAAAUGUCUAUCAUGCCCAACUUGUUUAUCAAAUGUUCGAAGGUAAGUCUUGUCAAACCUUUGGUCAGGAUAUCUGCAGUUUACUGACUUGAAAUCACGAAAGGUAGACAUAUGAUUCCACCAUCUAACUUCUCCUUUAUGAAGUAUUGAUCAAUCUCAAUAUGCUUGGUUCUGUCAUGUUGAACGGAUUAUGAGUUAUGCUUAUAGCAGCUUUAAUGUCGGAGUAUAAGGAUUCAUAAUCUUUCACAAAAUAGCUCUAAACUCGACUUCUGCAUUACUUCCUUGCUAAAACUCCUUGUUUCUUGCUUACAACUCCAUGUCGCAAGAUUAUCCCAAACAUAGGUACAAUAUCUAGAGAUUGAUCUUCUAUCUGUGACUGAACCUGCUCAAUCAGUAUCGGUGAAGAUAGACACAUUUCUUUCACUAGUCUUCUUAAAAAAUAAGUCUUUUUUAGGAUUUUCCUUCAAAUAUCUUAGUAUCCUAUAGACUGCCUCAAGAUGUUACUCGAAAGAAGAAUGCAUAAACUGACUUACUUCACUCACUGAGAAAGCAAUAUCAGGUCAGAUGUGUGACAAAUAAACCAGUUUACCAACCAAUCUUUGAUAUCUUCCAGUAUCAACAAGAACAUUACCUUCUCCUCAAAGUUUAACAUUAGGAUCCAUAGGGGUAUCUGCAGGACGACAUCCACUCAUUCUUGUUUCUUCCAAUAAGUCUAGAAUGUAGUACUGCUGUGAAACCACAAUACCACUUUUUGACCGAGCAACCUCGAUAGCUAGAAAAUAUAUCAUGAAUCCCAAGUCCUUGAUUUCAAAGUCUAUUGUCAAUUUCUCUUUUACUCUUGUCAUUUCUACUGUAUAGUCCUGUAAGGACAAUAUCAUCAACAUAAACAAUCAGGGCAACAACUUUUCCAUCGCGGGAGAACUUUGUGAACAAGGUGUGGUCAGCCUGUCCUUGGAUGUACCCUUGUUUCUUCGCGGACUAAGUGAAUAUUUCAAACCAGGCUCUAGGGGACUGCUUUAAACCAUACAAAGACUUAUUUAGUUUGCAUAUAUUUGAUCCAAAUUUGUUUUCAAAGUCAAGAGGAAUGUCCAUAUAUACUUCUUCUUCUAGAUCGCCAUUAAGAAAGAAAUUCGUAACAUCUAAAUGAUUUAGGGGCCAAUCCAGGUUAGCAGUAAGAGAUAAACGAAUUCUGACAGUGUUCAAUUUUGCAACAGGAGCAAAUGUCUCUGAGUAGUCUAUACCAUAGGUCUGAGUAAAGGCUUUAGCCACCAAGCGAGCCUUGUACCUUUCAAUUAACCCAUUUGAAUUAUACUUCACAGUAAACACUCAUUUGCAUUCAACUGUCAUCUUGCCAUCUGGUAGUGUUGUAACACUCCAAAUUUUGUUCUUUUCAAGAGCUUUUAUCUCCUUAAAUACAAUUUCCCUCCACUUUGGAAUUUCUAGAGCAACCUGUGCACUUUUUAGAAUUUCUACACUAGACAAUUUUGAGGUUAAGGCAGACAUAGAUGAAGACAAAUUUGAAUAUGAUAUAAAAUUGGACAUGGGGUGUUCAGUGCAAGAUCUAGAAUGUUUUCUAAUGGCAACAUGAUCAUCUAUAUCAGGAUACAAAAUAUGACUCUCAGAAACAGAGCUAGACUUAUCUUUCCUUUUCUCAGGAGGUUGAUCAUUCUCCGAUUCAGAUUUCUGGCAGUGUUGAGAUGUGGACUCGUCCCUUCAUUUGUGGUGUUUUUUCACAAAAACCUUCUCUUUCCAAGUCCUAUUGCCUAAUUCAAAUUUGUUUAAGUGACUUAUUAUUUUGUGGCAUUUCAAUUAGAUCAUCAUUAUCAUCAUUUUUAGGAUUCUCAUUAUUUUCUACAAGAGAAAAUGUAGGCUCAGGUUCACAAAGUUCCUUACUCAUAACAGGAGUAGGAUCAAAUAAAUAAUCAUGGCCAUUUUCUGUUGGUGCAGAUGUAAAUGUCUCGGAAUUGUGUUAUUGACAAAGAUAAAUUAUUUAAAAAACGCAUGUCCUCGAUUUGAAACGAGUUUUCAGUUAUAUCCCACCUUGAAGAUGAGUGUCAUCUAAAAAGGUUUAUUUUCAAAGAAUGUAACGUCCGUGUGACAAACAUUUUCUUGUUUUUUGGAUCAAAACAUUUAUAUACUUUUUGUGUUGGGGAGUAUCCAACAAAGACACAUUUUAGAGCAUGUGACUCUAGUUUUCAAACAUUUUUAUGUUUAUGAACAAAUGAUGUGCAACCAAAGAUUUUUAAUGUCAUAUCAGUUAAAACACGAGUAUUAGGAAAACAUUAUUUGAAGACAUUAAUUGGAGUAUUAAAAUUGGGAAUUUUGGAGGGCAUUCUAUUAAUUAAAUACACAACUGUUAAAACAACUUCGCCUUACAAAUAAUUUGGUACUUUAUUUGGAAAAAGUAAAGCUCUAGCAACCUCCAAUAAAUGUUUAUUUUUUCUUUCGGCAACUCUAAUUUGUUGAGGAGUAUUAUGACAUGAACUUUGAUGUACAAUCCGAUUUUUAGAAUAAAUCAUCCAGGAUAGUGUUAGAAUAUUCUUUGCCAUUAUCACUUCUAAAGACUUGGAUAAUUGUUUAAAUUGAUUCUGCUCCAUUGUAAAAAAAUUCUUUACAUGAUGACAAACAUUUGAUUUCCCCUUUAACAAGUACACCCAACAUACUCUUGUAUGGUUAUAUAUAAAUGUGAUAAACCAUUUUUUGAGAGAGAGUGUACUUGUACGGUUAUGGUUUAUAAGGCUGUAUUGAAAAUUGAGAACGAUGAUGCUUUGCAAACUCAUAUGCUUCACAUUUAAAAGAAGAAAAGUUUUUAUUAUGAAAUAACUUAGGAAACAAGUGUUUUAAGUAAUGAAAACUAGGAUGACCUGGUCUUAAAUGCUAUACCAUAAUGUUGUCAUCUUUAUUAUUCAAAACUGAAAAAGACUCGAAGCAAGAACAUUUUAUUUUCUAAGGUAGUUGUGAUGCAUAUCCAAUGUCAAGGUAACAGAGUCCUUCACUCUCCUAAGCAUUGCCAAUCAUCUUCCCCAAGUUCAAAUCCUGAAAGACAUAGUGAGAUCGGAAAAAAUUAGUUUGACAAUUUUUAUAUUGGGUUAAUUUACUGACGAACAUUAAAUUACAUGAUUUGAAACAUGAAGAAUAUUUUUAAGAGUUAACACUGGAGGCAACACAAUUGAUCAUUUACCUGCAAUGGUUGAAAAUGAGCCAUUUGUGAUUUUUUAUUUUUUGAUGACCUGCACAUGGACUAUAUGAAGAGAACAAAGUAGAUUCACUUGUAAUGUGAUUAGAGACACCUGAAUCUACUAUUCAAGUAUGACUGAGACUGACAUUAAGAAAUACAAAAUUAUUUUUUGCUACUAUAGAGCACGAAAGGGUUGGAGACUCUAGGAGUUUGUAGAGGUGAAUCUACACCUGUCAUGUUCAUGUUUUACUUUCAUGGAACCUUUGGACUUGUUAUUAGCAAGUAUUCAAAAAGAGCAUAAAAAUAGAAAAUAAAAAGGAACCAAACAAAUACAUAUAUAAGUACAAUAAUCCAGACAAAUACAACAUCCAAUCAAGUACGAAAUUCUUUUAAAAAGAAAGGGAAGUACAAAACAAUGGUCAAACUGUCUACUUUCGCUCCUUGAGUUCUCUCAACUCCUCCUUGAACCUCUGUACCAUCCCCUCGUAGAACAAAAUAAAAUUGAAAGCUGAAGGGUGAGUGUUGUCUUUAUCCAUUUCUUCCAGAGCGUCUCUCAGCUUCCAAUACAUGUCUAUAGUCAGCCAAAUGCAGAAUUCCACCAUGUUAGUGAACUUCUCACGGCUGCGUGCAGAAAAUUGAUGGUUUUCUCAUAGGUGUCUAAGUUACCAUUUAUGUGUUGCCUUUCACCUUACCAUUCUAAACUUUCACUCUGCAAGAAUUUAAAUCGAUGUUUCAUGUGUUGUGGGCACCUCUUGGCAUUUUCCAUGGUACAGCAAGAGAAGUGCCAAGAGAUGGAAAACGCCAAGGGGUGCACACAUCAUUGGAAAUAUCGAUUUGAGUCCCUGCAGAGUGAAAGCUUAGAAUUGCUAGGUGAAGGGCAACACCUAAAUGGGAAAUGAGACAACUAUGAGAAAAACAUCAACUUUUACACGCAGAUAAUACCGUGAAAAGUUCACUAGCCUGGUGGAAUUCUGCAAUUGGCUGACCAGGACAUGUCUUGGAAGCUGAGAGAUGCUCUGGAAGACAUGGAUAAAGACAACACUCACUCUUCAGCUUCCAACUUUGUUUUGUUCUAUAAGGGGAUGAUGCAGAGGUUCAAGGAAGGGAUGAGAGAGCGAAAACAGACAGUUUGACCGUUGUUUUGUACUUUUCUUUUUUAAAAGAAUUUUAUUUGCCUAGAUUAUUGUACUUGAUCAUGUAUCUGCUUCAAAUGAGAAAAUCCGACUCUCUUGCACCAAUCUUUGGUUCCUUCUUAUGUUUUGUUCUUAUGCUCUUUUUGAAUACUUGUUAAUAAUAACAAGUCCAAAGGUUCCCUUAAAGUAAAACAUCAUCUCCAGAAAAUAAGUUGAUUCCUCGACAUCGUUACGCUACUCGCACCAAUACUCGAAGAGCAAUGGAUCAAAUUGAGCAUAAUCAAGCAGCCAUGAGGGAAGAGAUUGACACUAUCAAGAGUAAAGUUGAUCAGAUUCUUGAGACUAUGUUGACUCUGGCCAAAAGAGAGGAUGAGCUUCACAAUGCUGUCACUAUAGGAAAUGUUGUUCCAGUUCAGGGAUCUACUCCGUAGCUACGACCUGUAGUCCCUAAUCCUUUGAUUUAUGACCUUUCUCCGGGCUAUACUUCUCCACUUAAGGGAAUUCCUACUCAACCAGUGCAUAUCUUUGUUGUCACUGAUAGACUUACUGCUCAAGAACAACCUGCUACUAGCCAUAUUCCACCUCCUCAUAUCGAUGAGGAACUCCAGAAUGAAUAUGAAAGGCAGAACUAUCAUGAAGCUAUCCCUGUGAUCAAUCCAGUGGUUGCUCAGGAUUCUGAGGCUAUUCAAAUAUGUCGCACUCUGGCUUAGAAAUUAAGGGUCAUGGAAGGACACAAUUCAGCUAGCAUGAAUGCUUUGGAGAUGUCGUUAGUGUCGGACUUCGAGAAGUAUAAGAGCCGUAGUUGUCCCAAGAUCCACUUGAAGAUGUAUUGUCGUAAAAUGGCUUAGGUUCUAGCCCAAGUUCCUUAGAAUCCGUAUCAGCAAAGGAACCAAUAGCGUCGGAAUCAACAAUAGCGUCUGAACCAACAAAGGGCAUACUAUCAGUAUAAUAAUGUGGAUAUUGAUCCUAUACCCAGUUAUUAUCUUACUUAAAUCAAAACGGAACGGUUGUAUCCAGGGCAUUAACACCCAUGCCAAAGCCACACAAAGCUUUGGUAUGAUGAGAAUGCUAGGUGCACAUAUCAUGAUAAUUCUAAAGGGCAUACAACUGAGAAUUGUCGGGCAUUUAAGCUUAGAGUACAAGAACUGAUAGAUCAGAAGAUGAUGUCCUUUGCAGACAUUCCAAACGUUUGGAAAAUCCUUUACCUGGGCAUGGUGGUUCAGCUGUCAAUGCCCUAGAGGGAGCUACGAAUGAGGGCUUGGUAAAAGAAGUGUUCGAGGUGAAAGCUUCCAAUGAGAGCCUGGCAAAAGAUGUGUUCCGAGGUGAAAGUUUCCAUGACAAUAGUCCAUGCGAAGUUGGCUGAAGCUGGAUUGAUCAGAGGAGUGUACAAUAAGUGCAACGUGUGUUUAUCCACUCCAAAUCUGUGUGAAGAGUUCAAAGAAUAUCUGCAACAUCUAAUGGAUCAACAUGUGGUCCAAUUUAGCAGAAUGUGUUAGACGGUGUGGCUAGUGAUCGAGAGGGGGGUGAAUAGAUCACCUCUUUUAAAAUAAACGGAUUUAAAAAAUCUUAUCAGAGUUAUUGAAACUUAGCGGAAAAUUACAGUCCCGAAUCGACUUCCGUCUAUUCUGAACCGCUACUAGAAAACCGGACACGCGAAUUUAUUGCUGGAUUUGAAUUAGAACGAUAGAGAUUAUUAACACCAGAAUAUUAUCAAAUCAAAUGCACUUAUCACUAAAUUCUAAUUCCAAUGAAUAAAACUCAGCUGACAGUUUUGUCAAACAUUUGGUGUGUAUGUGAUCAAUGAUGAACAAUGGUGGAGUUUAGAUAAAGAAGUUUUCUUGCCACUAUUGUAUCACGAAAUGUACAGUCACAAUACACCAACUGAAAUCACAAAANNNNNNNNNNNNNNNNNNNNNNNNNNNNNNNNNNNNNNNNNNNNNNNNNNNNNNNNNNNNNNNNNNNNNNNNNNNNNNNNNNNNNNNNNNNNNNNNNNNNNNNNNNNNNNNNNNNNNNNNNNNNNNNNNNNNNNNNNNNNNNNNNNNNNNNNNNNNNNNNNNNNNNNNNNNNNNNNNNNNNNNNNNNNNNNNNNNNNNNNNNNNNNNNNNNNNNNNNNNNNNNNNNNNNNNNNNNNNNNNNNNNNNNNNNNNNNNNNNNNNNNNNNNNNNNNNNNNNNNNNNNNNNNNNNNNNNNNNNNNNNNNNNNNNNNNNNNNNNNNNNNNNNNNNNNNNNNNNNNNNNNNNNNNNNNNNNNNNNNNNNNNNNNNNNNNNNNNNNNNNNNNNNNNNNNNNNNNNNNNNNNNNNNNNNNNNNNNNNNNNNNNNNNNNNNNNNNNNNNNNNNNNNNNNNNNNNNNNNNNNNNNNNNNNNNNNNNNNNNNNNNNNNNNNNNNNNNNNNNNNNNNNNNNNNNNNNNNNNNNNNNNNNNNNNNNNNNNNNNNNNNNNNNNNNNNNNNNNNNNNNNNNNNNNNNNNNNNNNNNNNNNNNNNNNNNNNNNNNNNNNNNNNNNNNNNNNNNNNNNNNNNNNNNNNNNNNNNNNNNNNNNNNNNNNNNNNNNNNNNNNNNNNNNNNNNNNNNNNNNNNNNNNNNNNNNNNNNNNNNNNNNNNNNNNNNNNNNNNNNNNNNNNNNNNNNNNNNNNNNNNNNNNNNNNNNNNNNNNNNNNNNNNNNNNNNNNNNNNNNNNNNNNNNNNNNNNNNNNNNNNNNNNNNNNNNNNNNNNNNNNNNNNNNNNNNNNNNNNNNNNNNNAUCAAUAAUGCCGAAUUCGUUGAUACAAGGUUACAAUACAAAGACAGAAAUCUAAAUCCCAAGAUCUUCUUCUUGUAUAAAACCUCCACUUGAUCUGAGCUCGAUCAAGAAUUUCCUGCAAGAAAUUGCAAACAAUUCACCGGUUCCACGACCUGUUUGCGAAAUUACCCAAUUUCCAAACCCUACGCUACGGCUGAAUCUGUUCUGCAAACGUGACUAACAAACCCGCAAGAACACUCCAGUUCUUGAAGGACAAACCAUUUGGUUUUUCCUCGAAACCCCCUUCAACCUUCAACUCAGCUAGAUCCUCGAUCGUUCCACUGAACACCUCAGCUAGAUCCUUGAUCGUUCCACUGAACGUUAUCUCGUUGAUCCUUUAAUCCAAAGAACAAGCAUGAUUAUGUGUUGAUGUUCUUGAAGAAAAGAGAUUGAGAAGAUGAAGAAGAUGAAGUCUCUUUCAGGUUUCUAACUGCUCAAACAAUUGCUGCUACGCACUCCUUUGAUUUGUGUUACAACUGUUUUUCACUUGUGAAUUCGUGCCCUUUUUCUAAGUUGUCAAAAUACUUCUUAUAUGUGGAAGACAGAAGCUGUUAGUAGACAAAACAAAAUUAUGUAUUGAUACAAAGGAUUAUGCAUCGAUACAUACUGUAGCUUUGAUUAAUUUUAGAGAAUUAAUAUAAGCAUGUAUCGAUACAAAGCUCGUAUGUAUCGAUACAUAUAACAUUUUAACUAAGCAUGUAUCGAUACAAAGCUCGUAUGUAUCGAUUACAUAGGACAUUUACGAAAUAAUAGUAUAGGCUAAAAACACAAAUGAAACAUGUAAAAUAAUGCACAACCAACAAUUAGACAAUGAUCACACAAUUUGCUAUCAUUCAAAACUUAUUCAAAGUAAAGAAUUUGCUCACAAACUCCCCCUUUUUGAUGAUGGCAAAUUUUUAGCAAGAUGUGUGAUACUCCCCCUGAGUUUGUGCAUAUCUGUCAACAUCUGCAUUUCUCCCCCUUUGUCAACAUCAAAAAGAAGAAAAAAACAGUUUUAUCAAGGCAACAUGUUGUAGCAGGACACAGCAAAAAUGAUAAAGAAGCUAACAAUCACAAAGAAGGAAGCUUAAAAAGUAAAGAAUCACUCACAAAGAAUGACAAAUAAGGGCAAUAACACCAGAAGUAAGCAGAAGGAAAUAAGCAUUUAACUAGUAGAAAGUAUUUAAAAAUUACAUAAGCCAAGACAUAUAAGGUGCAACUAAUCUGAAAAGAAAAAAACUCAAGCAACAUGCAAUGAAAUGCAGUGAAAUGAAAUGAUGAUGGUUUAAUGUGGAUUAUAGCCACCACAGGACUCCUCGUCAUCUCUAUCAGGAUCUCUGAAGCUUGGCGGAGGCGGAGGAGGAGGCAUUGCAUCUGGAUUGUGGCCCAUGAAGGUGUAGUGCCUGAACCGGUCCUGAACUUCAACACUUCUGAAUCUGUCCAUAAUACCAGGAUUGGCACGGCAGUCGUCCAUAAAACCAGACAUUUCAUUGUAGAAGACUUGGUGCCACUUAACCAAGUCCGUGUGCCAAGAGUGUUGGUUAUGGUACAUCCGUGUAUGAUCGUCAUGCCACUCACGAUGCUCCUUAUGCCACUCACUUUGUUGUACAUGCCAAGACCGUGCCUCUUCAUGACGUUCUUGGUUGGCAAGCUCCAUUUGUUGAAGCAUUUGAGUUAGGUGCGCAGUAGGUGUUGAAGAUGAAGCACCGCCGGAGAACGGAGGAACCGUUGGUUCAGGUACAUAGUUGGUUGGAGACCACCUUUGUGGCACCCAAUCACCCCAACCAGCAUUGUCAUCAGCUGCAGGCACAUCUGCUUCGUUCACAUCAUGCAUUUCUUCAUCAGGUUGGUCUUCAACUACAUGAAUUCGUUCAGAAGGCACAUCAAAAUUAUAGAUCCUUGUUUUGGAUUUCCUUUCAAAGAAAUAGAAACAUUGACGUUCCUUGUCCCACCGAUAUCCCAUAUGAGAUAAAGUGGAAGAGUCAAACUCUUGAGCAGCAGAUGGUGAUAUGAGAGGAACUAAAGGGAUUGCAACAUUCCAGAACGUAAGAAUUUUCAUGAUUUGAGACGCAUAACCAAGAGCAACAUUCUUGGCACUGUUACGCACGAAAAAGAGACGCUUCACAAAGUAAUUUGCCCAAUUCAAGGGAACCUUAUUUUGAAGAAUAUACAAGAGAUGAAUGUCUGCCCUGUCUAACCUAGAAUGUCCACUGUUUGCUGGACGCAGAAUGUGUGAGAUAAUCCAAUGAAGUAUACGAGCAAUUUUCUUAAUCAUACCAGACGUAACCUGUUCAUCCUCACCCAGCGGUCUGUCCAAUUUCAAGAUAGAUAGAGUAAACUCCUUCAGGUUAAAGUCAGUAUCAAACUUCAAAGUCAUGAAAUUAUGCGACGGAAGCGGAAUUUGAAACACUGUUUCCCAAUCAGCAGCCUCAAAAGUAUAGGUUCUGACACCAAUAGAAUACUUAAACAUAUAUCCUUUACCAGAUUGUAAGCCAUCAUAAAAUGCACGGAUAAAAUCCUCAUGGUAAUCAUCCUUUGUAGUAAAAAAUGAACCAAGUUUUUGUGCAUUCAGGAGUUCUACCACAUCAUUGAGAUGCAGAUGAAUAGCAUCAUGUUUAUCGAAGACAUGGGGUUUCAUAACUAACCUUGUCUUGAAAGAAUCCUCAAACUCAGUAGCAAUUGCAGGAUGAAGCAAAUAAGCAUCAUGUUUAUCGAAGACAUGGGGUUUCAUAACUAACCUUGUCUUGAAAGAAUCCUCAAACUCAGUAGCAAUUGCAGGAUGAAGCAAAUCUAAGGCAUUAGGAGGAAUUUCUGGUAACUGCUGAAAAGUGUCAACCGGUUCCUUUCCUUUUCCUUUUCCCCUUACUCUAGCCGGAAUGAUUCUUGGAGGCAUGGUGAUGAAAAAUUGAAGAAAAGUGAGAUGAAUUUAGGGUUUUGGAGAGAAUGAUGAUGAAGGAGAUUAGGGGAAUUGCUGAUGUGUCGAUCCAUGAGUGAAAUAAAAUGCAUUUAAUUCAAAAACAAUCAGUAUGUGUCGAUACAUAUGGGAAUGGAUCGAUCCAUGUCACGAGUUUUUUUUUUUUUUAAAAAAGGUUUAUGUAUCCAUACAAACGACGAAUGGAUCGAUACAUACUGAACCAAUUUUGACAAAUGUGAAAUGAAGAAGACAUGAAUCGAUACAUACAUCUUUGAAUCGAUACAUCAGCAAUUCCCCUAAUCUCCUUCAUCAUCAUUCUCUCCAAAACCCUAAAUUCAUCUCACUUUUCUUCAAUUUUUCAUCACCAUGCCUCCAAGAAUCAUUCCGGCUAGAGGAAGGGGAAAAGGAAAAGGAAAGGAACCGGUUGACACUUCUCAGCAGUUAUCAGAAAUUCCUCCUAAUGCCUUAGAUUUGCUUCAUCCUGCAAUUGCUACUGAGUUUGAGGAUUCUUUCAAGACAAGGUUAGUUAUGAAACCCCAUGUCUUCGAUAAACAUGAUGCUAUUCAUCUGCAUCUCAAUGAUGUGGUAGAACUCCUUAAUGCACAAAAACUUGGUUCAUUUUUUACUACAAAGGAUGAUUACCAUGAGGAUUUUAUCCGUGCAUUUUAUGCUGGCUUACAAUCUGGUAAAGGAUAUAUGUUUAAGUGUUCUAUUGGUGUCAGAACCUAUACUUUUGAGGCUGCUGAUUGGGAAACAGUGUUUCAAAUUCCGCUUCCGUCGCAUAAUUUCAAGACUUGGCAUGACUUGAAGUUUGAUACUGACUUUAACCUGAAGGAGUUUACUCUAUCUAUCUUGAAAUUGGACAGACCGCUGGGUGAGGAUGAACAGGUUACGUCUGGUAUGAUUAAGAAAAUUCCUCGUAUACUUCAGUGGAUUAUCUCGCACAUUCUGCGUCCAGCAAACAGUGGACAUUCUAGGUUAGACAGGGCAGGCAUUCAUCUCUUGUAUACUCUUCAAAAUAAGGUUCCCUUGAAUUGGGCAAAUUACUUUGUGAAGCGUCUCUUUUUCGUGCGUAACAGUGCCAAGAAUGUUGCUCUUGGUUAUGCGUCUCAAAUCAUGAAAAUUCUUACGUUCUGGAAUGUUGCAAUCCCUUUAGUUCCUCUCAUAUCACCAUCUGCUGCUCAAGAGUUUGACUCUUCCACUUUAUCUCAUAUGGGAUAUCGGUGGGACAAGGAACGUCAAUGUUUCUAUUUCUUUGAAAGGAAAUCCAAAACAAGGAUCUAUAAUUUUGAUGUGCCUUCUGAACGAAUUCAUGUAGUUGAAGACCAACCUGAUGAAGAAAUGCAUGAUGUGAACGAAGCAGAUGUGCCUGCAGCUGAUGACAAUGCUGGUUGGGGUGAUUGGGUGCCACAAAGGUGGUCUCCAACCAACUAUGUACCUGAACCAACGGUUCCUCCGUUCUCCGGCGGUGCUUCAUCUUCAACACCUACUGCGCACCUAACUCAAAUGCUUCAACAAAUGGAGCUUGCCAACCAAGAACGUCAUGAAAAGGCACGGUCUUGGCAUGUACAACAAAGUGAGUGGCAUAAGAAGCAUCGUGAGUGGCAUGACGAUCAUACACGGAUGUACCAUAACCAACACUCUUGGCACACGGACUCGGUUAAGUGGCACCAAGUCUUCUACAAUGAAAUGUUUGAUUUUAUGGACGACUGCCGUGCCAAUCCUGGUAUUAUGGACAGAUUCAGAAGUGUUGAGGUUCAGGCACUACACCUUCACGGGCCACAAUCCAGAUGCAAUGCCUCCUCCGCCAAGCUUCAGAGAUCCUGAUAGAGAUGACGAGGAGUCCUGUGGUGGCUAUAAACCACCAUCAUUUCAUUGCAUGUUGCUUGAGUUUUUUUCUUUUCAGAUUAGUUGCACCUUAUAUGUCUUGGCUUAUGUAAUUUUUAAAUACUUUCUACUAGUUAAAUGCUUAUUUCCUUCUGCUUACUUCUAGUGUUAUUGCCCUUAUUUGUCAUUCUUUGUGAGUGAUUCUUUACUUUUUAAGCUUCCUUCUUUGUGAUUGUUAGCUUCUUUAUCAUUUUUGCUGUGUCCUGCUACAACAUGUUGCAUUGAUAAAACUGUUUUUUUUUUAUGUUGACAAAGGGGGAGAAAUGCAGAUGUUGACAGAUAUGCACAAACUCAGGGGGAGUAUCACACAUCUUGCUAAAAAUUUGCCAUCAUCAAAACUUAUUCAAAGUAAAGAAUUUGCUCACAGAAUGAUGAUAGCAUUUAUGUAAUUGUGUCUUUGUUUGAUAAAGAGAGACUCCCUAAACCUUCGGUAGUUCCUUGCCAGAGGAAUACCACUGACACUGAAGAGUGUUCACUUCAGAAGAAGGUAAAUGAAACAGCAGUUGAACAUUCAAAGGGGAAAGAGGUUGCUACUCCGGAGUCAGGAGAAGGGCCUCAAAGAAGACUGUGUCUCCAGAAGAGGAUCAUAAAGAAGAGUGACUACAAAGUGGUAGAUCAACUCAAUCAAACCCCGUCAAAGAUCUCUAUCCUAUCUUUGCUUAUGAGUUCUGGGCCUCAUAGGACCGCCUUGCUGAAAUUCUUGAAUGAAGCUUAUGUGGCUGAAGAUAUCAGUGU